UUUUUUUCUCUGAACGAAAAUAUACCAACAUCAUGGAUCCGCUUACCUUCCCUUCAUUGGGAGAGAAGAACAGUGGCAUAUGCGAGUGUUGCCUUUCUUGAAGACGGUGAGGGAGAAGAGGAUUCAGCGAAGAAUGAAAUGGUGGUUGCUUCGUCCGUCAAACUUAGACUGCGGGGGGGUGGGGUUUUGUGAUAUGACGGCUCGUUACUGCCGCGCUACAACCGGGGUGACUCUCCGCCUGCAUACUACCUUCUAAUUUGGUGGAUGGCAUUUGGGCCCACGCGCUGCAUGGCCCGCAUGUUGGUGAACAAAAGUAUAACAGCAUUCAGUAGAGGGGGAUGUUUCAAUGCCCUAGGAGGAGCCAGAAGCGGUAGAGUGUCUCCACUGUACUAGUAAUAAUUGUUUUUCUGGGUAGCUGUAGAGUGUCUCCACUGUACUAGUAGUAAUUGCUUCUCUGGGGCCAAGACAAAACAGCCCAUCCACACUAGUAAAUAGUAAAAUCAAUUCAAAAGCCCUAUAUUUACUAAAUGAGAGGCGCUACCCACACCCAGCACACCGCCCCCCAAAAAACCAUGGGUGCUCUUCUUCUUCCUCCUUGAUCCCACCCACCUCACGUCAGCUCGCUCCACUCGUACCCCCAAAUUCCUCACCUCACUCCUACAGAAGACCCCAACUCCCCUUCUUCCUCACUACUACAGAAAAAACCUCAGCUCCCCUUCUUCUUCACUCGCACUACAACUAGGCUCGUCAUUCGUUACUCUGCUCAAAUCCGUGAGCGCGACGAGACACCCUCGAGGAAAAUGGAGUCGGCUGACCCAAGCGCCAAGAAGAUGAGGCUCCCGCCAGCGGCGACGCCUGUUGUAGAUCCCGCACCCGGCAGCGCAGGGAGAAGUGGCGACCCCGCCCCCACCGGAUCCCAGGAACCCAUAGAAUCUCGGGUGGACCGCAUCAGCGAUCUCCCGGACGCCGUCCUUGGGGAGAUCAUCUCGCUUCUCCCCACCAAGGAUUGCUGCCGCACCCAAGUCCUCUAAAUUCGGUGGCGCCCUCUAUGGCGCACCAUGCCCCUUAAUCUCGACUGUCGUCAGCUAUCUCUCUUCAAUGAUUUUGAAAUCCCCAGAGCCAUCAUCUCCUCCCACCAGGGCUCCGUUCAAAGCCUCUGCUUCCCGUCAUGCUACCUGAGCAAGCAUACCAUGCCGUGCAUGGUGGACGCCUGGCUGAAAUCCCCUGAAUUCACAGAACUACAGCUGCUUGAGUUCUACUAUUCCCCUGGAAAUCACAUACCACAUACCGAAUGACAUGAACUUGUGCCCUCAACACCGAUGUCCAUCUCACGGUUUUCCUCCUCUCUCCACACCGCCACCUUACGCUGUGCUACCUACCAGACAAUCUGGUACUAAACCUUCGACUCCCAUUUCUCAAGAAAUUUUCACUUGUGCGGGUUCGUAUAUCGGAGGCCUCGUUGCACAGCAUCAUCCACUCCAGUUGCCCUGCCAUGGAGUGCUUGGUGCUUGUUUUCACAGUUAGAAUCGAUUGUCUCCAAAUAAAGUCGCCUAACCUUGUAAGAAUUGGAAUUUCUUAUGACAGAAGGCAGCUCAUCAUCCAAGAUGCCCCUUCACUUCAAAGGUUGAUCCUUGAUUCUAGUUAUUCACCGUUGCAAAUAACCGUCCUCUCUGCGCCUAAACUGGAGACCUUGGGUGUAAUACAUGAUCUCUGUGCUCAUUUCAAUAUGGUGUUUGGCUCCAUAGUUCUUCAGGUACUUUAUAUUAUCAUCUACACUUGUAACCAUAAGCUGCAUUUUAAAUUUCUACCCAUAAGUUAUAUAUCAUCUUGGAGUACACAUUUUGUACUAAUAUUAUGUUCUAUGCUCAAUGAAGAGUUUCUCCAUGGAUGGCCUAUCAAUGGUGCUGGAUUCUAUCAAGAUCUUAUAUAUCCAAAUGAUUAGUUUUGAUCUGAACAAGACUAUUGGCUUGCUGCAAUGCUUUCCAUGUCUGGAGAAGUUGUAUAUAAAGGUGAUAAUUUCACACGCACAUUGGAAGCCCGCAUAUAGUGUACUAGAAUUAACCGUUCAGCUGUUGCUCUUUCGACACUCUUUUUUUAGACCUUAACUGUUUUCAAUCUUCAUGUCUAUUUAGGCAACAGGACGGGGUAAGAAAGUUAUAACCAAUCGGUGGAUUCAUAAGAAUCGGGAUUUUCUCACUUCUCAUGAGAUUUGGUUGAAGACAAUAACGCUAGAAUGAUAUGUAGCCAACCGUGCAAACACUAGAUUUGUCACAUUCUUCCUGCUGAAUGCGAGGUUACUAUUGUCCAUCAGGCUUAAGUUUAUCAGCAGCAUGGUUUUGAUGGAUGGCUAUGUCGAAGAGCAAAAAGAGGAGUUUCAGGUGGGCAAAAGAGCAUCUGAACGUGUCGGGCUUCUAUUUACAACAUAUUGUGGUCAUAAUCCAGUAAAUUUUAUGACCCAGGGUGUUCAUUCUAUGGACAUGACCGAUCCAUUUGACUGUGACUGCCAAAAACUCUGCUGGAGUUAGAUGUUGUUGCCCUUUUCAACCUGGGUUUUUUUGUAAACCUGAUGAACAAUUAACCCUCGUGCUUUUGUAUAGUUUGUAAGUUGGAUUUAGAUGUUCCUGCCCUUUUCAACUCGGCUGUGACUGUCAUAUUUUAUUUGAAACAAGGCAUGGCUUGCCAUUCGUUUAAUUUAGAGUGAAAUAUUGUAACAAAUCCCAACCAAGGGACAUAACAUCACUCUUGCCGGUUGCUUGAUCUCACUGUGCAUUACAGAAGCCAAGUGAUUAGCCCCCACCAGCACCCACAAACUUAUUUCGAACUAGCACAUCAAAUGGGCUGUAAAUUUUCAUAGGAAAGGCUGCAUGACCGUGACAGAUUUGGAUUCUGACAUUUGGGACCCGCGAGGAAAUAGCCUAGCGAGUCAACAAACAAUUCUACCUACCAGCCGUUGGAUUGACAUCCAACAUCUGUCGUGUAUCUUCUAUCUCUUGUCUUCUUCCUCCAGCCGCCCAAACUGAACCACCCCGUUGGCUCCGCCUGCUCCCUCAUCCCAAGGCUGGCUGUGCCUCCGCCGCCCUACCGUACAUACCCUCCAACCUUGGCCAGUCCCUCCCUCUAUUCCCCCACAUGUCCUGUUAUUCUCCGGCAACAUCAGCCCCAACAUGCACCCGCACCCGAACCAGUCAACCCUCGUACUCCCCUCCGCCUGCGACUGGACCGGCGCAUCUUCCACGACUCCUGUUUGUUCCGUCCAAGGCCUCGCCAUCGUCCUCUGCCUUGUGGCCUUGGUUCACUCGCCGUGCGCGGUGCACCGCCCUGUUGCGUUGUCAACGUCGUCAACAACCAAGAGGAACAAGGAGAUGAUUGUAUGUGGAGAGGAUGACAGUAGGGACCCACUAGCGUCAUGGCAGUACGCAAGCAAGUGCCUCUUUAUUACAAGCCCAAAAAUAUGGUUCCUCCUAAUGGUUGGACAUCUGGGGCUCACGCCAUUGUCAACGUAGUCAAUAAACGAGAGAAUUACACUACGAGUGGGUGACACCAGGGACCCAGCAGGUCGUGCAGUUUUUUUUUGAGGAACAAGCAGUUGUUAUUUAUACUAGUUUUACGACAGAUCAGGGUAACAACGGGGCUGUGCGGGGGUCGUGGCCCAUCUAGCCAGGGUUUUCUUUAUGUUUACCACAUCAUGAGCCCAGUUGUGUUUUUUUCUUGCUGAAAAUGGCUAGCCCAGUUCUAUUUUUUUAAGAAAUACCCAAACAAGGCCUACUUGCUUUAUCGGCCCUGCUGGGCUGCAAAUCUUUCAAGACGAGGAGAGUUUCAUUCGGUUGACAGUCGUACUCCGCUCCGCGUGGGCAUCUCCACUGUCGUGUCUUCCCCGGCUCCGCGUCGUCCCCUUCCUAGGCCUCGUCAUCGUCGUCCACCGCCCUGGUGCUCUCGGCACAGCGUGGUCAAUGUGGUCAACGACCGACUUUCGUCAGAAGAGUAUUGUACGUGGAGAGGCUGACAGUUGGGUCCACGGCGGCCGCAAGGAAGUGCCUCCUUAUUACACGCAAAAUAAUUAUUCCUCCACCUGACAGCGGGGACCCAUCGGACGGGUCACCGUAUUUCGCGAAAAAAAUGUUUCCCCCCUGACUGCUCGGACCUACCAGCUACACCUUUGAACGCAAGGAAGUGCGUCCGGGCAAAAAAAAUUCGCCAGCUGACUACUGGGACCCACCAGCUACACCUUCGCACGCAAGGAAGUGCGUCCGGGCAAAAAAAAACAAACUAAUUCGCCCCCCUGACUGCUGGGACCCACCAGCUACAUCUUCGCAUGCAAGGAAUUGCCUGACAGUCGGGACCCACCUGGUCGAAGCGUAUGUAGCAUUGUCAUUCUAGUCGCGGACGUGUACGUACAUACACGUGGAUGUAGAGGAACGCACGUAUCGUAAUAGAGGCGCGCACAUAGCAUGUACACGUACGUACAGCGGCCAGGGUGCAAGAAAGAAAAUACGGCCACGUAUGUGUACAUACGGGCGGGGUCUCGAACGCCUACUCGCGCAUAUAUACGUACGGCCAGGGCUCGUGGACAUUGGCUGGGUCGGAACGGAGAAACAGCAUCGUCGUCGUGUUCAUGGGGAGCCAACCGGCUGGGUCGGAACAGAAUGCGUCGUCGUGUUCAUCGGGAGGGCUUGGACGGAACAUGCGAUGGAAACGAGGCCUGGCGUACUGCAGAACGGAGGAAACUGCCUUGUGUUCGACCGGCCACGUUCGAAACGGGAUCGUGUUCAUCGGGAGGAGUCUGGCGUACUGCAAAACGGAGGAAACGGACCUCCUAUGGUCGAAACGGGGGUCAUGUUGAUCGGGAGGGGUGUGGCGUACCGCAAAACGGACAAAACGGACAUCCUACGGGCGAAACGGGGGUCAUGUUGAUCCGGGGGGUGUGGCAUACUGCAAAACAGACGAAACAGACUUGUGUUGGAGCGCUAUGGUCGAAAAGGGGGUCAUGUUCAUCGGGAGGGGUGUGGCAUACCACAAAACGGGACUCCACGGGAUACUGUUCAUCUCCACCGUCGACCUCCUCCAGCCUCCACGGGCUACUGUUCAUCCACCGUCGACCUCCUCCAGCCUCCACCUGCGACUGUUCAUCCACGGGCUCCUGUUCAUUCAUCCUCCGUCGUGCACUACUCGACCGGCUACUGUUCAACCACCCCUCUCCACUGGCUCAUGUUCAACCACCCUCCACGGGCUACUGUUCAUCCACCCCUCCACCAUCUACUGUUCAUCCAGACCUCCACGGGGUCAUCCUGUUCAUCCAACCCUCCACACCACAGAGUCCUGUUCAUCCAGAGGCAACGCCACCGCUCACUGUUCAUCCAACCCCCCCCCUCCCAACACUCACUGUUCAUCCAGUGAGGCAGCAUCCAUCGGCUUCAGUUAGCAGCAGUAGCGAAGGAAUCGCUUGAUCGGGUUCAGUUAACAGCCAUCGAUCGAUCGCUCAGGUUCAGUAACGCGUAGCCUGUAGUGCAAUCGCUCGGGUUCAGUUAGAGCCCAACGCCUCGCUUGGGUUCAGUUAGAGCCAACGCCUCGCACACAUGCGCGUACGUGUACGAGAGAAACGCGCAUUGCUCGGCCCCCGACCUCCCACCGUAACCGGGAACUCCCCGAAAUUUUCCUCCCCCUCGCUUCUACCACGUUUUUUCGUCAUGGACGGCCCAAAGAAUGUCAUGCAGCUGCGUCUCCGGCCCGCCCAGGACGAAAAGCCCAUUUUCUGUCAUGAUUUUUUGUCAUAGAAGUAGGAGCCCACCACAUCUAUGAUGAUAGCGGGUUUUGUCACAAUUAUCGUCAUAGAAGUGUCAUAUGUAUGACAGAAAAAAAUUCGUUUGACCCAAAAUGUCACAGAUGUGUCUUUUUUUUGUAGUGUGAAAGACCUGCUGCAGGAGCAGAUGCUGAUGUUUUGAACAUCUCGCAAGCUCGGUCUGAUGACUAAACGAUAGUUCAGUGUGUCAUGCUUUACAUCUUAGAAUCAGGACUUCAAAGACGUUUUGAACGUCAUGGAGCAUAUAAGAUGUUCCAAGAGUUGAAGUUAAUAUUUCAAGCAAAUGCCCGAGUUGAGAGAUAUGAAAUCUCCAACAGGUUCUAUAGCUGCAAGAUGGAGGAGAAUAGUUCUGUCAGUGAACACAUACUCAGAAUGUCUGGAUAUCAUAAUCACUUGACUCAUUUGGGAGUUAAUCUUCCUGAUGAUAGUGUUAUUGACAGAGUUCUCCAAUCACUGCUGCUACCUCUUGAGCUUGCGUUGGUUUUCCCUUGAAGAGGAAAGGGUGAUGCAGCAAAGUAGCAUAAGUAUUUCCCUCAUUUUGAGAACGAAGGUAUCAAUCCAGUAGGAGAAAACGCACAAGUCACUGAAUACCUGCACAAACAAUCAACAACUUGCACCCAAUGCGAUAAAGGGGUUGUCAAUCCCUUCACGGUCACUUGCAAAAGUGAGAUCGGAUAGAGAUAGAUAAACGGUAAAGUAAAUAUUUUUGGUAUUUUUGGUUUAUAGAUUGGAAAGUAAAGAUUGCAAAAUAGUAAAUCGGAAACUAAUAAUAUGUAAAAGAGAUUCAAUAUAAUGGAAAAGAGACCCUGGGGCCAUAGGUUUCACUAGUGGCUUCUCUCAACAUAGCAAAUAUUACGGUGGGUGAACAAAUUACUGCCGAGCAAUUGAUAGAAAAGCGCAUAGUUAUGAUGAUAUCUAAGGCAAUGAUCAUGAACAUAGGUGAGGGAGUCCUGGAUUAGGGGGUGUCUGGAUGACCGGACUAUAACCUUUGGCCGGACUCCUGGACUAUGAAGAUACAAGAUUGAAGACUUCGUCCCGUGUCCGGAUGGGACUUUCCUUAUGUUGCUUGACCAUGUUGCUUGACCAUAGGUCUACCAGAGUAAGAUCCGCACCAGAGUGGUACGGUAAUCCUAUUCUGGAAGUCAUGUUGCUUGACCAUGAUGAACCUACGAACUAUGAGGAAGCGAUGAUGAGCCCGGAUUCCGCAAAAUGGCUAGAAGCCAUGAAAUCUGAGAUGGGAUUCAUGUACGAAAACAAAGUAUGGACUUUGGUUGACUUGCCCGAUGAUCGGCAAGCCAUUGAGAAUAAAUGGAUCUUUAAGAAGAAGACUGACGCUUAUGGUAAUAUAACUGUCUAUAAAGCUCGACUUGUUGCAAAAGGUUUUCGACAAGUUCAAGGGGUUGACUACGAUGAGACUUUCUCACCCGUAGUGAUGCUUAAGUCCGUCCGAAUCAUGUUAGCUAUUGCUGCAUUUCAUGAUUAUGAAAUUUGGCAAAUGGAUGUCAAGACUGCAUUCUUGAAUGGAUUUCUAGAAGAAGAGUUGUAUAUGAUGCAGCCGGAAGGUUUUGUUGAUCCAAAAGGUGCUGACAAAGUGUGCAAGCUCCAGUGUUCCAUUUAUGGACCGGUGCAAGCAUCUCAGAGUUGGAAUAAACGCUUUGAUAGUAUGAUCAAAGCAUAUGGUUUUAUACAGACUUUUGGAGAAGCCUGUAUUUACAAGAAAGUGAGUGGGAGCUCUGUAGCAUUUCUAAUUUUAUAUGUAGAUGACAUAUUAUUAAUUGGAAAUGAUAUAGAAUUUCUGGAUAGCAUAAAAGGAUACUUGAAUAAAAGUUUUUCAAUGAAAGACCUCGGUGAAGCUGCUUACAUAUUGGGCAUCAAGAUCUAUAGAGAUAGAUCAAGACGCUUAAUAGGACUUUCACAAAGCACAUACCUCGACAAAAUUUUGAAAAGGUUCAAAAUGGAUCAGGCAAAGAAAGGAUUCUUGCAUGUGCUACAAGGUGUGAAGUUGAGUCAAACUCAAUGCCCGACCACAGCAGAAGAUAGAGAGAAAAUGAAAAAUGUUCCCUAUGCUUCAGCCAUAGGCUCUAUCAUGUAUGCAAUGCUGUGUACCAGACCUGACGUAUGCUUAGCAAUAAGCUUGGCAGGAAGGUACCAAAGUAAUCCAGGAGUGGAUCACUGGACAGUGGUCAAGAACAUCCUGAAAUACCUGAAAAGGACUAAGGAUAUGUUUCUCGUAUAUGGAGGUGACAAAGAGCUAGUCGUAAAUGGUUACGUCGAUGCAAGCUUUGACACUGAUCUGGACGAUUCUAAAUCGCAAACCGGAUACGUGUUUUUAUUAAACGGUGGAGCUGUAAGUUGGUGCAGUUCUAAACAAAGCGUCGUAGCGGGAUCUACAUGUGAAGCGGAGUACAUAGCUGCUUCGGAAACAGCAAACGAAGGAGUCUGGAUGAAGGAGUUCAUUUCUGAUCUAGGUGUCAUACCUAGUGCAUCGGGACCAGUGAAGAUCUUCUGUGACAAUACUGGUGCAAUUGCCUUGGCAAAGGAAUCCAGAUUUCACAAGAGGACCAAGCACAUCAAGAGACGCUUCAAUUCCAUUCGGGACCAAGUCUAAGUGGGAGACAUAGAGAUUUGCAAGAUACAUACGGAUCUGAAUGUUGCAGACCCAUGACUAAGCCUCUCUCACGAGCAAAACAUGAUCAGCACCAAGACUCCAUGGGUGUUAGAAUCAUUACUAUGUAAUCUAGAUUGUUGACUCUAGUGCAAGUGGGAGACUGAAGGAAAUAUGCCCUAGAGGCAAUAAUAAAGUUAUUAUUCAUUUCCUCAUAUCAUGAUAAGUGUUUAUUAUUCAUGCUAGAAUUGUAUUAACCGGAAACAUGAUACAUGUGUGAAUACAUAGACAAACAUAAAGUCACUAGUAUGCCUCUACUUGACUAGCUCAUUAAUCAAAGAUGGUUAUGUUUCUAACCAUAGACAUGUGUUGUCAUUUGAUUAAUGGGAUCACAUCAUUAGGAGAAUGAUGUGAUUGACAUGACCAUUCCGUUAGCCUAGCACUUGAUCGUUUAGUAUGUUGCUAUUGCUUUCUUCAUGACUUAUACAAAGUUCCUGCAACUAUGAGAUUGUGCAACUCACGUUUACCGGAAGAACACUUUGUGUGCUACCAAACGUCACAACGUAACUGGGUGAUUAUAAAGGUGCUCUACAGGUGUUUCCGAAGGUGCAUGUUGGGUUGGCAUAAUUCGAGAUUACGUUUUGUCACUCCGAUUGUCGGAGAGGUAUCUCUGGGCCCUCUCGGUAAUACUCAUCACCUAAAGCCUUGCAAGCAUUGUAACUAAUAAGUUAGUUAUAAGAUGAUGUGUUACAGAACGAGUAAAGAGACUUGCCGGUAACCAGAUUGAACUAGGUAUUGGAUACCGACGAUAAAAUCUCGGGCAAGUAACAUACCGAUGACAAAGGGAACAACGUAUGAUUGUUGUGCGGUUUGACCGAUAAAGAUCUUCGUAGAAUAUGUAGGAACCAAUAUGGGCAUCCAGGUUCCGCUAUUGGUUAUUGACCGAGAACAGUUCUAGGUCAUGUCUACAUAGUUCUCGAACCCGUAGGGUCCGCAUGCUUAACGUUACGAUGACAGUUUUAUUAUGAGUUUACAAGUUUUGAUGUACCGAAGUUUGUUUGGAAUCCCGGAUAUGAUCACGGACAUGACGAGGUGUCUCGAAAUGGUCGAGACAUAAAGAUUGAUAUAUUGGACGACUAUAUUCGGACACCGAAAGUGUUCCGGGUGAUUUCGGAGAAAACCGGAGUGUCGGAGGGUUACCGGAACCCCCCCCCCCCGGAGAGUUAAUGGGCCACAUGGGCCUUGGUGGGAAGAGAGAGGGGCGGCCAGGAAGGGCCGUGCGCCCCCUCUCCCUCUGGUCCGAAUUGGACUAGGAGGGGGGCGGCGCCCCCCUCUUUGCUUCCCCUCCUCUCCCCCUUCCUUCCCCUCCUAGUAGGAGUAGGAAAGGAGGAGUCCUACUCCUACUAGGAGGAGGACUCCUCGUCCUGGCCCGCCCAACAAGGGCCGGCCGGCCUCCCCCCUCCCUCCUUUAUAUACGGGGGCAGGGGGCACCCCAUAGACACACAAGUUGAUCUACGGAUCAUUCCUUAGCCGUGUGCGGUGCCCCCCUCCACCAUAUUCCACCUCGGUCAUAUCGUCACGGAGUUUAGACGAAGCCCUGCGCCGGUAGAACAUCAUCAUCGUCACCACACCGUCGUGCUGACGGAACUCUUCCCCGAAGCUUUGCUGGAUCGGAGCCCAGGGAUCGUCAUCGAGCUGAACGUGUGCUGAACUCGGAGGUGCCGUACGUUCGGUGCUUGGAUCGGUCGGAUCGUGAAGACGUACGACUACAUCAACCGCGUUGUCAUAACGCUUCCGCUUACGGUCUACGAGGGUACAUGGCCAAACACUCUCCCCUCUCAUUGCUAUGCCAUCACCAUUAUCUUGCGUGUGCGUAGGAAAUUUUUUGAAAUUACUACAUUCUCCAACAAUGGCAUCCGAGCCUGGUUUUAUGCGUAGAUGUCAUAUGCACGAGUAGAACACAAGUGAGUUGUGGGCGAUAUAAGUCAUACUGCUUACCAGCAUGUCAUACUUUGGUUCGGCGGUAUUGUGAGAUGAAGCGGCCCGGACCGACAUUACGCGUACGCUUACGCGAGACUGGUUUCACCGCUACGAGCACUCGUUGCUUAAAGGUGACCGGCGGGUGUCUGUCUCUCUCACUUUAGCUGAAUCGAGUGUGGCUACGCCCGGUCCUUGCGAAGGUUAAAACAGCACCAACUUGACAAACUAUCGUUGUGGUUUUUGAUGCGUAGGUAAGAACGGUUCUUGCUAAGCCCGUAGCAGCCACGUAAAACUUGCAACAACAAAGUAGAGGACGUCUAACUUGUUUUUGCAGGGCAUGUUGUGAUGUGAUAUGGUCAAGACGUGAUGAUAUAUUUUAUUGUAUGAGAUGAUCAUGUUUUGUAACCGAAGUUAUCGGCAACUGGCAGGAGCCAUAUGGUUGUCGCUUUAUUGUAUGAAAUGCAAACGCCCUGUAAUUGCUUUACUUUAUCACUAAGCGGUAGCGAUAGUCGUAGAAGCAAUAGUUGGCGAGACGACAACGAUGCUAUGAUGAAGAUCAAGGUGUCGCGCCAGUGACGAUGGUGAUCAUGACGGUGCUUCGGAGAUGGAGAUCACAAAGCACAAGAUGAUGAUGGCCAUAUCAUAUCACUUAUAUUGAUUGCAUGUGAUGUUUAUCCUUUAUGCAUCUUAUCUUGCUUUGAUUGACAGUAGCAUUUUAAGAUGAUCUCUCACUAAAAUUAUCAAGAAGUGUUCUCCCUGAGUAUGCACCGUUGCCAAAGUUCGUCGUGCCCAGACACCACGUGAUGAUCGGGUGUGAUAAGCUCUACGUCCAUCUACAACGGGCGCAAGACAGUUUUGCACACGCGGAAUACUCAGGUUAAACUUGACGAGCCUAGCAUAUGCAGAUAUGGCCUCGGAACACGGAGACCGAAAGGUCGAGCGUGAAUCAUAUAGUAGAUAUGAUCAACAUAGUGAUGUUCACCAUUGAAAACUACUCCAUCUCACGUGAUGAUCGGUUAUGGUUUAGUUGAUUUGGAUCACGUGAUCACUUAGAUGACUAGAGAGAUGUCUGUCUAAGUGGGAGUUCUUAAAUAAUAUGAUUAAUUGAACCUAAAUUUAUCAUGAACUUAGUACCUGAUAGUAUUUUGCUUGUCUAUGUUUGUUUGUAGAUAGAUGGCUCGUGCUGUUGUUCCGUUGAAUUUUAAUGCGUUCAUUGAGAAAGCAAAGUUGAAAGAUGAUGGUAGAAAUUACACGGACUGGGUCCGUAACCUGAGGAUUAUCCUCAUUGCUGCACAGAAAAGUUACGUCCUGGAAGCACCGCUGGGUGCCAGGCCUGCUACUGAUGCAACUGACGAUGUUAAGAACGUCUGGCAGAGCAAAGCUGAUGAAUACUCUAUAGUUCAGUGUGCCAUGCUUUACGGCUUAGAACCGGGUCUUCAACGACGUUUUGAACGUCAUGGAGCAUAUGAGAUGUUCCAGGAGUUGAAGUUAAUAUUUCAAGCAAAUGCCCAGAUUGAGAGAUAUGAAGUCUCCAAUAAGUUCUACAGCUGCAAGAUGGAGGAGAAUAGUUCUGUUAGUGAGCAUAUACUCAAAAUGUCUGGGUAUGAUAAUCACUUGAUUCAACUGGGAGUUAAUCUUCUGGAUGAUAGCGUCAUUGACAGAAUUCUCCAAUCACUGCCACCAAGCUACAAGAGCCUUGUGAUGAACUAUAAUAUGCAAGGGAUGAACAAGACUAUUCCCGAGCUCUUUGCAAUGCUAAAAGCUGCGGAGGUAGAAAUCAAGAAGGAGCAUCAAGUGUUGAUGGUCAACAAGACCACUAGUUUCAAGAAAAAGGGCAAAGGGAAGAAGAAGGGGAACUUCAAGAAGAACAGCAAGCAAGUUGCUGCUCAAGAGAAGAAACCCAAGUCUGGACCUAAGCCUGAAACUGAGUGCUUCUACUGCAAGCAGACUGGUCACUAGAAGCGGAACUGCCCCAAGUAUUUGGCAGAUAAGAAGGAUGGCAAAGUGAACAAAGGUAUAUGUGAUAUACAUGUUAUUGAUGUGUACCUAACUAGAGCUCGUAGUAGCACCUGGGUAUUUGAUACUGGUUCUGUUGCUAAUAUUUGCAACUCGAAACAGGGACUACGGAAUAAGCGAGCACUGGCCAAGGAGGAGGUGACGAUGCGCGUGGGAAACGGUUCCAAAGUCGAUGUGAUCGCGGUCGGCAUGCUACCUCUACAUCUACCUUUGGGAUUAGUUUUAGACCUGAAUAAUUGUUAUUUGGUGCCAGCGUUGAGCAUGAACAUUAUAUCUGGAUCUUGUUUGAUGUGAGAGAGUUAUUCAUUUAAAUCAGAGAAUAAUGGUUGUUCUAUUUAUAUGAGUAAUAUCUUUUAUGGUCAUGCACCCUUGAAGAGUGGUCUAUUUUUAUUAAAUCUCGAUAGUAGUGAUACACAUAUUCAUAGUGUUGAAACCAAAAGAUGCAGAGUUAAUAAUGAUAGUGCAACUUAUUUGUGGCACUGCCAUUUGGGUCAUAUCGGUGUAAAGCGCAUGAAGAAACUCCAUACUGAUGGACUUUUGGAAUCACUUGAUUAUGAAUCACUUGGUACUUGCGAACCGUGCCUUAUGGGCAAGAUGACUAAAACGCCGUUCUCCGGAACUAUGGAGCGAGAAACUGAUUUGUUGGAAAUCAUACAUACUGAUGUUUGUGGCCCAAUGAAUGUUGAGGCUCGCGGCGGGUAUCGUUAUUUUCUCACCUUCACAGAUGAUUUGAGCAGAUAUGGGUAUAUCUACUUGAUGAAACACAAGUCCGAAACAUUUGAAAAGUUCACAGAAUUUCAGAGUGAAGUGGAAAAUCAUCGUAACAAGAAAAUAAAGUUUCUACGAUCUGAUCGUGGAUGAGAAUAUUUGAGUUAUGAGUUUGGCCUACACUUGAAACAAUGUGGAAUAGUUUCGCAACUCACGCCACCUGGAACACCACAACGAAAUGGUGUGUCCGAACGGCGUAAUCGUACUUUACUGGAUAUGGUGCGAUCUAUGAUGUCUCUUACUGAUUUACCGCUAUCAUUUUGGGGUUAUGCUUUAGAGACGGCCGCAUUCACGUUAAAUAGGGCACCAUCAAAAUCCGUUGAGACGACGCCUUAUGAACUGUGGUUUGGCAAGAAACCAAAGUUGUCGUUUCUUAAAGUUUGGGGCUGCGAUGAUUAUGUGAAGAAACUUCAACCAGAUAAGCUCGAACCUAAAUCGGAGAAAUGUGUCUUCAUAGGAUACCCAAAAGAGACUAUUGGGUACACCUUCUAUCACAGAUCUGAAGGCAAGACAUUCAUUUCUAAGAAUGGAUCCUUUCUAGAGAAGGAGUUUCUCUCGAAAGAAGUGAGUGGGAGGAAAGUAGAACUUGAUGAGAUAACUAUAUCUACUCCCUUAUUGGAAAGUAGUUCAUCACGAGAUCAAGUUUCUACUGAACCUCGUAGGUCUACCAGAGUAAGAUCCGCACCAGAGUGGUACGGUAAUCCUAUUCUGGAAGUCAUGUUGCUUGACCAUGAUGAACCUACGAACUAUGAGGAAGCGAUGAUGAGCCCGGAUUCCGCAAAAUGGCUAGAAGCCAUGAAAUCUGAGAUGGGAUCCAUGUAUGAAAACAAAGUAUGGACUUUGGUUGACUUGCCCGAUGAUCGGCAAGCCAUUGAGAAUAAAUGGAUCUUUAAGAAGAAGACUGACGUUGAUGGUAAUAUAACUUUCUAUAAAGCUCGACUUGUUGCAAAAGGUUUUCGACAAGUUCAAGGGGUUGACUACGAUGAGACUUUCUCACCCGUAGUGAUGCUUAAGUCCGUCCGAAUCAUGUUAGCUAUUGCUGCAUUUCAUGAUUAUGAAAUUUGGCAAAUGGAUGUCAAGACUGCAUUCUUGAAUGGAUUUCUAGAAGAAGAGUUGUAUAUGAUGCAGCCGGAAGGUUUUGUUGAUCCAAAAGGUGCUGACAAAGUGUGCAAGCUCCAGCGUUCCAUUUAUGGACUCGUGCAAGCAUCUCGGAGUUGGAAUAAACGCUUUGAUAGUAUGAUCAAAGCAUAUGGUUUUAUACAGACUUUUGGAGAAGCCUGUAUUUACAAGAAAGUGAGUGGGAGCUCUGUAGCAUUUCUAAUUUUAUAUGUAGAUGACAUAUUAUUAAUUGGAAAUGAUAUAGAAUUUCUGGAUAGCAUAAAAGGAUACUUGAAUAAAAGUUUUUCAAUGAAAGACCUCGGUGAAGCUGCUUACAUAUUGGGCAUCAAGAUCUAUAGAGAUAGAUCAAGACGCUUAAUAGGACUUUCACAAAGCACAUACCUUGACAAAAUUUUGAAAAGGUUCAAAAUGGAUCAGGCAAAGAAAGGAUUCUUGCCUGUGCUACAAGGUGUGAAGUUGAGUCGAACUCAAUGCCCGACCACAGCAGAAGAUAGAGAGAAAAUGAAAAAUGUUCCCUAUGCUUCAGCCAUAGGCUCUAUCAUGUAUGCAAUGCUGUGUACCAGACCUGGCGUAUGCUUAGCAAUAAGCUUGGCAGGAAGGUACCAAAGUAAUCCAGGAGUGGAUCACUGGACAGCGGUCAAGAACAUCCUGAAAUACCUGAAAAGGACUAAGGAUAUGUUUCUCGUAUAUGGAGGUGACAAAGAGCUAGUCGUAAACGGUUACGUCGAUGCAAGCUUUGACACUGAUCCGGACGAUUCUAAAUCGCAAACCGGAUACGUGUUUUUAUUAAACGGUGGAGUUGUAAGUUGGCGCAGUUCUAAACAAAGCGUCGUAGCGGGAUCUACAUGUGAAGCGGAGUACAUAGCUGCUUUGGAAGCAGCAAAUGAAGGAGUCUGGAUGAAGGAGUUCAUUUUUGAUCUAGGUGUCAUACCUAGUGCAUCGGGACCAAUGAGGAUCUUCUGUGACAAUACUGGUGCAAUUGCCUUGGCAAAGGAAUCCAGAUUUCACAAGAGGACCAAGCACAUCAAGAGAUGCUUCAAUUCCAUUCGGGACCAAGUCCAAGUGGGAGACAUAGAGAUUUGCAAGAUACAUACGGAUCUGAAUGUUGCAGACCCGUUGACUAAGCCUCUCUCACGAGCAAAACAUGAUUAGCACCAAGACUCCAUGGGUGUUAGAAUCAUUACUAUGUAAUCUAGAUUUAUUGACUCUAGUGCAAGUGGGAGACUGAAGGAAAUAUGCCCUAGAGGCAAUAAUAAAGUUAUUAUUUAUUUCCUCAUAUCAUGAUAAGUGUUUAUUAUUCAUGCUAGAAUUGUAUUAACCGGAAACAUGAUACAUGUGUGAAUACAUAGACAAACAUAAAGUCACUAGUAUGCCUCUACUUGACUAGAUCAUUAAUCAAAGAUGGUUAUGUUUCCUAACCAUAGACAUGUGUUGUCAUUUGAUUAAUGGGAUCACAUCAUUAGGAGAAUGAUGUGAUUGACAUGACCCAUUCCGUUAGCCUAGCACUUGAUCGUUUAGUAUGUUGCUAUUGCUUUCUUCAUGACUUAUACAAAGUUCCUGCAACUAUGAGAUUGUGCAACUCACGUUUACCGGAAGAACACUUUGUGUGCUACCAAACGUCACAACGUAACUGGGUGAUUAUAAAUGUGCUAUACAGGUGUUUCCGAAGGUGCAUGUUGGGUUGGCAUAAUUCGAGAUUAGGUUUUGUCACUCCGAUUGUCGGAGAGGUAUCUCUGGGCCCUCUCGGUAAUACUCAUCACCUAAAGCCUUGCAAGCAUUGUAACUAAUAAGUUAGUUAUAAGAUGAUGUGUUACAGAACGAGUAAAGAGACUUGCCGGUAACGAGAUUGAACUAGGUAUUGGAUACCGACGAUCAAAUCUUGGGCAAGUAACAUACCGAUGACAAAGGGAACAACGUAUGAUUGUUGUGCGGUUUGACCGAUAAAGAUCUUCGUAGAAUAUGUAGGAACCAAUAUGGGCAUCCAGGUUCCGCUAUUGGUUAUUGACCGAGAACAGUUCUAGGUCAUGUCUACAUAGUGCUCGAACCCGUAGGGUCCGCACGCUUAACGUUACGAUGACAGUUUUAUUAUGAGUUUACAAGUUUUGAUGUACCGAAGUUUGUUCGGAAUCCCGGAUAUGAUCACGGACAUGACGAGGUGUCUCGAAAUGGUCGAGACAUAAAGAUUGAUAUAUUGGACGACUAUAUUUGGACACCGAAAGUGUUCUGGGUGAUUUCGGAGAAAACCGGAGUGCCGGAGGGUUACCGGAACCCCCCCGGAGAGUUAAUGGGCCACAUGGGCCUUGGUGGGAAGAGAGAGGGGCGGCCAGGAAGGGCCGUGCGUCCCCUCUCCCUCUGGUCCGAAUUGGACUAGGAGGGGGGCGGCGCCCCCCUCUUUGCUUCCCCUCCUCUCCCCCUUCCUUCCCCUCCUAGUAGGAGUAGGAAAGGAGGAGUCCUACUCCUACUAGGAGGAGGACUCCUCCUCCUGGCGCGCCCAACAAGGGCCGGCCGGCCUCCCCCCUCCCUCCUUUAUAUACGGGGGCAGGGGCACCCCAUAGACACACAAGUUGAUCUACGGAUCAUUCCUUAGCCGUGUGCAGUGCCCCCCUCCAACAUAUUCCACCUCGGUCAUAUCGUCACGGAGUUUAGACGAAGCCCUGCGCCGGUAGAACAUCAUCAUCGUCACCACGCCGUCGUGCUGACGGAACUCUUCCCCGAAGCUUUGCUGGAUCGGAGCCCAGGGAUCGUCAUCGAGCUGAACGUGUGCUGAACUCGGAGGUGUCGUACGUUCGGUGCUUGGAUCGGUCGGAUCGUGAAGACGUACGACUACAUCAACCGCGUUGUCAUAAUGCUUCCGCUUACGGUCUACGAGGGUACAUGGACAAACACUCUCCCCUCUCGUUGCUAUGCCAUCACCAUUAUCUUGCGUGUGCGUAGGAAAUUUUUUGAAAUUACUACGUUCUCCAAUAGUGGCAUCCGAGCCUGGUUUUAUGCGUAGAUGUCAUAUGCACGAGUAGAACACAAGUGAGUUGUCGGCGAUAUAAGUCAUACUGCUUACCAGCAUGUCAUACUUUGGUUCGGCGGUAUUGUGAGAUGAAGCGGCCCGGACCGACAUUACGCGUACGCGAGACUAGUUUCACCGCUACGAGCACUCGUUGCUUAAAGGUGACCGGCGGGUGUCUGUCUCUCUCACUUUAGCUGAAUCGAGUGUGGCUACGCCCGGUCCUUACGAAGGUUAAAACAGCACCAACUUGACAAACUAUCGUUGUGGUUUUUGAUGCGUAGGUAAGAACGGUUCUUGCUAAUCCCGUAGCAGCCACGUAAAACUUGCAACAACAAAGUAGAGGACGUCUAACUUGUUUUUGCAGGGCAUGUUGUGAUGUGAUAUGGUCAAGACGUGAUGAUAUAUUUUAUUUUAUGAGAUGAUCAUGUUUUGUAACCGAAGUUAUCGGUAACUGGCAGGAGCCAUAUGGUUGUCGCUUUAUUGUAUGAAAUGCAAACGCCCUGUAAUUGCUUUACUUUAUCACUAAGCGGUAGCGAUAGUCGUAGAAGCAAUAGUUGGCGAGACGACAACAAUGCUACAAUGAAGAUCAAGGUGUCGCGCCGGUGACGAUGGUGAUCAUGACGGUGCUUCGGAGAUGGAUAUCACAAAGCACAAGAUGAUGAUGGCCAUAUCAUAUCACUUAUAUUGAUUGCAUGUGAUGUUUAUCCUUUAUGCAUCUUAUCUUGCUUUGAUUGACGGUGGCAUUUUAAGAUGAUCUCUCACUAAAAUUAUCAAGAAGUGUUCUCCCUGAGUAUGCACCGUUACCAAAGUUCGUCGUGCCCAGACACCACGUGAUGAUCGGGUGUGAUAAGCUCUACGUCCAUCUACAACGGGUGCAAGACAGUUUUGCACAUGCGGAAUACUCAGGUUAAACUUGACGAGCCUAGCAUAUGCAGAUAUGGCCUCGGAACACGGAGACCGAAAGGUCGAGCGUGAAUCAUAUAGUAGAUAUGAUCAACAUAGUGAUGUUCACCAUUGAAAACUACUCCAUCUCACGUGAUGAUCGGUUAUGGUUUAGUUGAUUUGGAUCACGUGAUCACUUAGCUGACUAGAGAGAUGUCUGUCUAAGUGGGAGUUCUUAAAUAAUAUGAUUAAUUGAACCUAAAUUUAUCAUGAACUUAGUACCUGAUAGUAUUUUGCUUAUCUAUGUUUGUUUGUAGAUAGAUGGCUCGUGCUGUUGUUCCGUUGAAUUUUAAUGCGUUCCUUGAGAAAGCAAAGUUGAAAGAUGAUGGUAGCAAUUACACGGACUGGGUCCGUAACCUGAGGAUUAUCCUCAUUGCUGCACAGAAAAGUUACGUCCUGGAAGCACCGCUGGGUGCUAGGCCUGCUACUGAUGCAACUGACGACGUUAAGAACGUCUGGCAGAGCAAAGCUGAUGACUACUCUAUAGUUCAGUGUGCCAUGCUUUACGGCUUAGAACCGGGUCUUCAACGAUGUUUUGAACGUCAUGGAGCAUAUGAGAUGUUCCAGGAGUUGAAGUUAAUAUUUCAAGCAAAUGCCCAGAUUGAGAGAUAUGAAGUCUCCAAUAAGUUCUACAGCUGCAAGAUGGAGGAGAAUAGUUCUGUUAGUGAGCAUAUACUCAAAAUGUCUGGGUAUGAUAAUCACUUGAUUCAACUGGGAGUUAAUCUUCCGGAUGAUAGCGUCAUUGACAGAAUUCUCCAAUCACUGCCACCAAGCUACGAGAGCCUUGUGAUGAACUAUAAUAUGCAAGGGAUGAACAAGACUAUUCCCGAGCUCUUCGCAAUGCUAAAAGCUGCGGAGGUAGAAAUCAAGAAGGAGCAUCAAGUGUUGAUGGUCAACAAGACCACUAGUUUCAAGAAAAAGGGCAAAGGGAAGAAGAAGGGGAACUUCAAGAAGAACAGCAAGCAAGUUGCUGCUCAAGAGAAGAAACCCAAGUCUGGACCUAAGCCUGAAACUGAGUGCUUCUACUGCAAGCAGACUGGUCACUGGAAGCGGAACUGCCCCAAGUAUUUGGCAGAUAAGAAGGAUGGCAAAGUGAACAAAGGUAUAUGUGAUAUACAUGUUAUUGAUGUGUACCUAACUAGAGCUCAUAGUAGCACCUGGGUAUUUGAUACUGGUUCUGUUGCUAAUAUUUGCAAGUCGAAACAGGGACUACGGAAUAAGCGAGCACUUGCCAAGGACGAGGUGACAAUGCGCGUGGGAAACGGUUCCAAAGUCGAUGUGAUCGCGGUCGGCAUGCUACCUCUACAUCUACCUUCGGGAUUAGUUUUAGACCUGAAUAAUUGUUAUUUGGUGUCAGCGUUGAGCAUGAACAUUAUAUCUGGAUCUUGUUUGAUGCGAGACGGUUAUUCAUUUAAAUGAGAGAAUAAUGGUUGUUCUAUUUAUAUGAGUAAUAACUUUUAUGGUCAUGCACCCUUGAAGAGUGGUCUAUUUUUAUUAAAUCUCGAUAGUAGUGAUACACAUAUUCAUAGUGUUGAAACCAAAAGAUGCAGAGUUAAUAAUGAUAGUGCAACUUAUUUGUGGCACUGCCGUUUGGGUCAUAUCAGUGUAAAGCGCAUGAAGAAACUCCAUACUGGUGGACUUUUGGAAUCACUUGAUUAUGAAUCACUUGGUACUUGCGAACCGUGCCUUAUGGGCAAGAUGACUAAAACGCCGUUCUCCGGAACUAUGGAGCGAGCAACUGAUUUGUUGGAAAUCAUACAUACUGAUGUUUGUGGCCCAAUGAAUGUUGAGGCUCGCGGCGGGUAUCAUUAUUUUCUCACCUUCACAGAUGAUUUGAGCAGAUAUGGGUAUAUCUACUUGAUGAAACACAAGUCUGAAACAUUUGAAAAGUUCAAAGAAUUUCAGAGUGAAGUGGAAAAUCAUCGUAACAAGAAAAUAAAGUUUCUACGAUCUGAUCGUGGAUGAGAAUAUUUGAGUUAUGAGUUUGGCCUACACUUGAAACAAUGUGGAAUAGUUUCGCAACUCACGCCACCUGGAACACCACAACGAAAUGGUGUGUCCGAACGUCAUAAUCGUACUUUACUGGAUAUGGUGCGAUCUAUGAUGUCUCUUACUGAUUUACCGCUAUCAUUUUGGGGUUUUGCUUUAGAGACGGCCGCAUUCACGUUAAAUAGGGCACCAUCAAAAUCCGUUGAGACGACGCCUUAUGAACUGUGGUUUGGCAAGAAACCAAAGUUGUCGUUUCUUCAAGUUUGGGGCUGCGAUGCUUAUGUGAAGAAACUUCAACCAGAUAAGCUCAAACCUAAAUCGGAGAAAUGUGUCUUCAUAGGAUACCCAAAAGAGACUAUUGGGUACACCUUCUAUCACAGAUCCGAAGGCAAGACAUUCAUUGCUAAGAAUGGAUCCUUUCUAGAGAAGGAGUUUCUCUCGAAAGAAGUGAGUGGGAGGAAAGUAGAACUUGAUGAGAUAACUGUAUCUACUCCCUUAUUGGAAAGUAGUUCAUCACGAGAACCGGUUCCUGUGACAACUACACCAAUUAGUGAGGAAGCUAAUGAUAAUGAUCAUGAAACUUGAGAUCAAGUUUCUACUGAACCUCGUAGGUCUACCAGAGUAAGAUCCGCACCACAGUGGUACGGUAAUCCUAUUAUGGAAGUCAUGUUACUUGACCAUGAUGAACCUACGAACUAUGAGGAAGCGAUGAUCAGCCCGGAUUCCGCAAAAUGGCUAGAAGCCAUGAAAUCUGAGAUGGGAUCCAUGUAUGAAAACAAAGUAUGGACUUUGGUUGACUUGCCCGAUGAUCGGCAAGCCAUUGAGAAUAAAUGGAUCUUUAAGAAGAAGACUGAAGUUGAUGGUAAUAUAACUGUCUAUAAAGCUCGACUUGUUGCAAAAGGUUUUUGACAAGUUCAAGGGGUUGACUACGAUGAGACUUUCUCACCCGUAGUGAUGCUUAAGUCCGUCCGAAUCAUGUUAGCUAUUGCUGCAUUUCAUGAUUAUAAAAUUUCGCAAAUGGAUGUCAAGACUGCAUUCUUGAAUGGAUUUCUAGAAGAAGAGUUGUAUAUGAUGCAGCCGGAAGGUUUUGUUGAUCCAAAAGGUGCUGACAAAGUGUGCAAGCUCCGGUGUUCCAUUUAUGGACCGGUGCAAGCAUCUCGGAGUUGGAAUAAACGCUUUGAUAGUAUGAUCAAAGCAUAUGGUUUUAUACAGACUUUUGGAGAAGCCUGUAUUUACAAGAAAGUGAGUGGGAGCUCUGUAGCAUUUCUAAUUUUAUAUGUAGAUGACAUAUUAUUAAUUGGAAAUGAUAUAGAAUUUCUGGAUAGCAUAAAAGGAUACUUGAAUAAAAGUUUUUCAAUGAAAGACCUCGGUGAAGCUGCUUACAUAUUGGGCAUCAAGAUCUAUAGAGAUAGAUCAAGACGCUUAAUAGGACUUUCACAAAGCACAUACCUUGACAAAAUUUUGAAAAAGUUCAAAAUGGAUCAGGCAAAGAAAGGAUUCUUGCCUGUGCUACAAGGUGUGAAGUUGAGUCAAACUCAAUGCCCGACCACAGCAGAAGCUAGAGAGAAAAUGAAAAAUGUUCCCUAUGCUUCAGCCAUAGGCUCUAUCAUGUAUGCAAUGCUGUGUACCAGAACUGACGUAUGCUUAGCAAUAAGCUUGGCAGGAAGGUACCAAAGUAAUCCAGGAGUGGAUCACUGGACAGCGGUCAAGAACAUCCUGAAAUACCUGAAAAGGACUAAGGAUAUGUUUCUCGUAUAUGGAGGUGACAAAGAGCUAGUCGUAAACGGUUACGUCGAUGCAAGCUUUGACACUGAUCCAGACGAUUCUAUAUCGCAAACCGGAUACGUGUUUUUAUUAAACGGUGGAGCUGUAAGUUGGUGCAGUUCUAAACAGAGCGUCGUAGCGGGAUCUACAUGUGAAGCAGAGUACAUAGCUGUUUCGGAAGCAGGAAAUGAAGGAGUCUGGAUGAAGGAGUUCAUUUCUGAUCUAGGUGUCAUACCUAGUGCAUCGGGACCAAUGAAGAUCUUCUGUGAUAAUACUGGUGCAAUUGCCUUGGCAAAGGAAUCCAGAUUUCACAAGAGGACCAAGCACAUCAAGAGACGCUUCAAUUCCAUUCGGGACCAAGUCCAAGUGGGAGACAUAGAGAUUUGCAAGAUACAUACGGAUCUGAAUGUUGCAGACCCGUUGACUAAGCCUCUCUCAUGAGCAAAACAUGAUCAGCACCAAGACUCCAUGGGUGUUAGAAUCAUUACUAUGUAAUCUAGAUUAUUGACUCUAGUGCAAGUGGGAGACUGAAGGAAAUAUGCCCUAGAGGCAAUAAGAAAGUUAUUAUUUAUUUCCUCAUAUCAUGAUAAGUGUUUAUUAUUCAUGCUAGAAUUGUAUUAACCGGAAACAUGAUACAUGUGUGAAUACAUAGACAAACAUAAAGUCACUAGUAUGCCUCUACUUGACUAGCUCAUUAAUCAAAGAUGGUUAUGUUUCCUAACCAUAGACAUGUGUUGUCAUUUGAUUAAUGGGAUCACAUCAUUAGGAGAAUGAUGUGAUUGACAUGACCCAUUCCGUUAGCCUAGCACUUGAUCGUUUAGUAUGUUGCUAUUGCUUUCUUCAUGACUUAUACAAAGUUCCUGCAACUAUGAGAUUGUGCAACUCACGUUUACCGGAAGAACACUUUGUGUGCUACCAAACUUCACAAUGUAACUGGGUGAUUAUAAAGGUGCUCUACAGGUGUUUCCGAAGGUGCAUGUUGGGUUGGCAUAAUUCGAGAUUAGGUUUUGUCACUCCGAUUGUCGGAGAGGUAUCUCUGGGCCCUCUCGGUAAUACUCAUCACCUAAAGCCUUGCAAGCAUUGUAACUAAUGAGUUAGUUAUAAGAUGAUGUGUUACAGAACGAGUAAAGAGACUUGCCGGUAACGAGAUUGAACUAGGUAUUGGAUACCGACGAUCAAAUCUCGGGCAAGUAACAUACCGAUGACAAAGGGAACAACGUAUGAUUGUUGUGCGGUUUGACCGAUAAAGAUCUUCGUAGAAUAUGUAGGAACCAAUAUGAGCAUCCAGGUUCCGCUAUUGGUUAUUGACCGAGAACAGUUCUAGGACAUGUCUACAUAGUUCUCAAACCCGUAGGGUCCGCACGCUUAACGUUACGAUGAGAGUUUUAUUAUGAGUUUACAAGUUUUGAUGUACCGAAGUUUGUUCAGAAUCCCGGAUAUGAUCACGGACAUGACGAGGAGUCUCGAAAUGGUCGAGACAUAAAGAUUGAUAUAUUGGACGACUAUAUUCGGACACCGGAAGUGUUCCGGGUGAUUUCGGAGAAAACCGGAGUGCCGGAGNNNNNNNNNNNNNNNNNNNNNNNNNNNNNNNNNNNNNNNNNNNNNNNNNNNNNNNNNNNNNNNNNNNNNNNNNNNNNNNNNNNNNNNNNNNNNNNNNNNNNNNNNNNNNNNNNNNNNNNNNNNNNNNNNNNNNNNNNNNCCCCCCGGAGAGUUAAUGGGCCACAUGGGCCUUGGUGGGAAGAGAGAGGGGCGGCCAGGAAGGGCCGCGCGCCCCCUCUCCCUCUGGUCCGAAUUGGACUAGGAGGGGGGCGGCGCCCCCCUCUUUCCUUCCCCUCCUCUCCCCCUUCCUUCCCCUCCUAGUAGGAGUAGGAAAGGAGGAGUCCUACUCCUACUAGGAGGAGGACUCCUCCUCCUGGCGCGCCCAACAAGGGCCGGCCGGCCUCCCCCCUCCCUCCUUUAUAUACGGGGGCAGGGGGCACCCCAUAGACACACAAGUUGAUCUACGGAUCGUUCCUUAGCCGUGUGCGGUGCCCCCCUCCACCAUAUUCCACCUUGGUCAUAUCGUCGCGGAGUUUAGGCGAAGCCCUGCGCCGGUAGAACAUCAUCAUCGUCACCAUGCUGUCGUGCUGAUGGAACUCUUCCCCGAAGCUUUGCUGGAUCGGAGCCCGGGGAUCGUCAUCGAGCUGAAUGUGUGCUGAACUCGGAGGUGCCGUACGUUCGGUGCUUGGAUCGGUCGAAUCGUGAAGACGUAUGACUACAUCAACCGCGUUGUCAUAAUGCUUCCGCUUACGGUCUACGAGGGUACGUGGACAAACACACUCCCCUCUCGUUGCUAUGCCAUCACCAUGAUCUUGCGUGUGCGUAGGAAAUUUUUUGAAAUUACUAUGUUCUCCAACAGUAGCCACUGUCGAUUAUUUAACCGACAUGCUCGACUUCGACUCCGAAGACAUCGACGGUAUUGACGCCGAUGCAGGAGACGACCAAGAACCAGCGCCAAUAGGGCCCUGGAAGGCCACCUCAUCAUACGACAUAUACAUGGUGGACACCCUAAAAGAAGGGAAUGGCGAUGGAACAACGGAGGAUGACCUCUCCAAGAAGCAGCCUAAGCGUCGGCGUCAGCGGCGCCACUCUAAAUCCCGCCAAAGCAAAAACGGCGAUUCUAGCACGGGGGAUAAUAACACCCCGGACAGCACCGAAGACAACCCCCUCCAGCAGGAUUCAGCAUAGGAGGAUGGAGAAGCCAGCCCUCAUGAGAGAGCGGCAGACAGAGAGGUAGAGGACGAUAAUUACAUGCCUCCCUCCGAAGGCGAGGCAAGCCUCAAUGACGACGAAUUUGUCAUGCCUGAGGAUCCCGUCCAACAAGAGUGUUUCAAAUGUAGGCUUAUGGCCACGACGAGCAGCCUCAAGAUAAAACAGCAGCAGCUUAGAGCUGACCAAGACUUGCUAGCCGACAGAUGGACUGAAGUCCUUGCGGCCGAAGAGUACGAACUCGAACGCCCCUCCAAGAGCUACCCAAAGCGCAGGCUGCUACCCCGAUUAGAGGGGAAGCACCUAAACCUACAUCAACAGCGCACGACGCGGCUGACCGGCCACCUCGUGGCCGCGACAAAGAGGCCUCUCGGCCAUCCACUCAAGCCGCACCCCGGCGUUGCUCAAAAAAUACCAAGGCAUGGGGAAAUGCGCCAGACCUACGAGACAUAUUGGAGGACAAGGCAAGGCAAACAAGAUCGAUCUACAGAUCGCGUGGGCGCCCCACGACACAUGACGAUAACCGUCACGCCGGAUAUGGCAAAUACGGCCAGGCCGAACACAGCAGACAAAGCUCAUUUGAGCUACGUCGUGAUAUAGCCCAGUACAGAGGCGCCGCACACCCACUAUGCUUCACAGAUGAAGUAAUGGAUCAUCAAAUCACCGAGGGUUUUAAACCUGUAAACAUCGAAUCAUACGAUGGCACAAUAGAUCAUGCGGUAUGGAUCGAGGAUUAUCUCCUUCAUAUCCACAUGGCCCACGGUGAUGAUCUACACGCUAUCAAAUACCUCCCACUCAAGCUUAAAGGACUAGCUCGGCAUUGGCUUAACAGCUUGCCAACAGAGUCAAUUGGUUGCUGCGAGGACCUGGAAUCCGCAUUCCUCGACAAUUUCCAGGGCACCUAUGUGCGACCACCAGACGCCGAUGACCUAAGCCACAUAAUUCAGCAGCCAGAGGAAUCGGCCAGACAAUUCUGGACACGGUUCCUAACCAAGAAAAAUCAAAUAGUCGACUGUCCGGACGCAGAGGCCCUCACAGCCUUCAAACAUAAUAUACAUGAUGAAUGGCUUGCCCGGCACCUAGGACAGGAAAAGCCGAAAUCCAUGGUAGCCCUCACAACACUCAUGACCCUCUCUUGCGCGGCAGAAGACAGCUGGCUAGCUCGUGGUAAUAACAUGACCAAGAGCCCUGGUAAUUCGGAUACCAAGGACAACAAUGGUAGGUCGCGUCGCAACAAGCACAAGCGCCGCAUUAUCGGCGACAAUGCUGAGGAUACGGCAGUUAAUGCCGGAUUCAGAGGCUCUAAACUCAGUCAGCGGAAAAAGCCAUUCAAAAGAAAUACUCCGGGCCCGUCCAGUUUGGACCGAAUACUCGAUCGCUCGUGCCAGAUACACGGCACCCCCGAAAUACCAGCCAAUCACACCAACAGGGAUUGUUGGGUGUUCAAGCAGGCAGGCAAGUUAAGUGCCGAAAACAGAGACAAGGGGCUGCACAGCGAUGACGAGGAGGAGCCCCGGCCGCUGAACAAUAUGGGAUAGAAGGGCUUUUCCCCACAAGUGCGGACGGUGAACAUGAUAUACGCAACCUACAUCCCCAAAAGAGAGCGGAAGUGCGCACUCAGGGACGUAUAUGCGUUGCAGCCAGUCGCCCCAAAGUUCAACCCGUGGUCCUCCUGCCCGAUCACUUUUGAUCGAAGGGACCACCCCACUAGCAUCCGCCACGGCAGAUUUGCCGCAUUGGUUCUAGACCCAAUCAUUGACGGAUUUCACCUCACUAGAGUCCUUGUGGACGGCGGCAGCAGCCUGAACAUGCUUUAUCAGGAUACAGUGUGAAAAAUGGGCAUAGAUCCCUCAAGGAUUAAACCCACAAAGACAACCUUUAAAGGCAUCAUACCAGGUGUAGAGGCCAACUGUACAGGCUCAGUUACACUCGAAGUGGUCUUCGGAUCCCUGGAUAAUUUCUGAAGCGAGGAGUUAAUCUUUGACAUAGUACCGUUCCACAGUGGCUAUCACGCCCUGCUCGGACGAACCGCAUUUGCAAAGUUCAAUGUGGUGCCGCACUACGCAUACCUCAAGCUCAAGAUGUCAGUCCCUCCAGGAGUCAUUACGGUCAAUGGAAACACUGAACGCUCUCUCCGAACGGAGGAGCAUACGGCGGCCCUCGCGGCGGAAGUACAAAGUAGGCUCUCAAGGCAAUUCUCCAGUCUGGCUAUUAAACGUCCGGACACCGUCAAGCGCGCCCGGAGUAACCUACAACAAGACCGCCUGGCACAUUCCGAGCAAGCGUAGCAGUGCGGCCCCAACCCCACCCCUCGCGAAAUUGCAAAACCAGUACCACACGUACAUAAUUACGCUCUGAAAUACCAUGGGCAUAAGGGGAGGGGCACAACCACGGCACGCCCUAAAUGCGGCUCAACCGCACUAGGGGCUCCCGAUUUUGUCAUUUCUUUUUUCUUACUUUCAGGACUCCACUCUCCGGAAGGCCUGUCCGGCAGUACAAUUGCCGAACACACGAUGCAACAGCCAGGGAGGCAGCAAGCUACGUCGAAUGCCCAAGUGGUCUCUAUAACGAGCUAAAUACCUGUCUUACAUAAAGUCUCGCAGCUUGCCCCUGGAGGGGGACAUGUCAAAUAAUCCCAUCUCUUGCUUAUCGCACUAUUUGUAUCGUUCUGCUUUCACAGCAGCCUUUUAAUAAACAAUACAUAGCUCUUGUCUACUAUUGCAUUCAUUUUCUUAUGUAAAUAUGUUUAGUUAUGACAUUAUGCAACAGUACACUUUGGUACGGCCAAUACACCAGGGGCUUAAGUACCCCAGAAUAUGGUGUGAGAAGUCCGAACACUCUCGCGAGUGUGGCACCCCGAACUUAUAGCAUUAUAUGCAUCGGCUCCGAAUCAUGUCUUGGGUCAAUAGUUGGGUUUGCCCGGCUCCCAUGUUUUGGUACCUUACGUUCCGUUAUAUCGGCUAAGGUAGCGCUGGGAGAACUACUACGAUUGUGCCCCGGUUGAGCUGGGUUAAGCACCUCGGAAGAGAAAGCUAAAACUGACCGUCAUGAUAGGGCGAGAGCCGGUCGCUGUCGAGAGGUUUUCGAGUCCCUAAAGACUUAUGCCGCUUAGAGCGAGGAGCUGGCUUUGUCCGGCCUAGGCGUGGAUAGCGCCCCGAACUCGGUCUUCCGAAUACUAGGGGCUUCGUCGAAAUAUAAAAUUAUGGAAUUCUAUUGCUAAGUGAGAGUGAUAAAGCAUUAUAGUCCGAUUGCCUUGUUCGUUGUGCUGAGCGCCUCCCUCAAAGGACCCAAGAAUGGGAACAAGAGCGCUCAGGUUUAUCCCGAACUCCCCAGCACUCGUGGCAUGGGGAUAGAAGCCGACGACUCGCCAUCUCUCAGAUUUAAUAAACAGCCGCACAGAAGGUAAUAUUUUAAAUUCAAAAAGCGUUGCUUAGCGCAUAUGAACAAGUUUUCAGCGCACGGGAUAACACAAGCGAGUUUACUCAAAAAUUACAUCCUUGGAACACUCAUUCGCCACAAGGAAGGCACCCUUUAGGACGCCCUCAUAAUACAACUCGGGCUUGCGAUGCUCCUUCCCCUCCGGUGGCCCAUCUGUCACCAGCUUCUCAGCAUCCAUCUUGCCCCAGUGUACUUUAACACGGGCAAGGGCCCUACGGGCGCCUUCGAUGCAUACGGAGCGCUUGAUGAUUUCAAGCCAUGGAUAGGAAUCCACCAGCUGCCUCACCAGCCCAAAGUAGCUCCCAGGCAUGACCUCCCCAGGCCAUAGCCGGCCUAUAAGGCCCUUCAUGGCCUAUUCGGCUACCUUAUGGAGCUCGACCAGCUGCUUCAGCUGGUCGCUCAAGGGCACCGGGUAUCCGGCUCAACAUACUGGGACCAGAACACCUUCUCCGUCGAGCUCCCUUCCUCGGCUCGGUAGAAUGCGGCAGCGGCGGACACACUGCGGGGCAGAUCUGCGAAUGCUCCUGGAGAGCUCCGGACUCGGGUAAGUAACAAGUAAUUCACUUUCACGUGCUUGCUUUGCAUAAAGAAUGCCUUACCCGCCGCUAUCUUCUUCAUCGCCUCAAUUUCCUGGAGGGCUUUUUGGGCUUCGGCCUUGGCAGAUUUGGCGCUCUCAAGAGCCGAGGCAAGCUCGGACUCUCAAGUCUUUGAGUCAAGCUCCAAACUCUCGUGUUUUUUCACAAGAGCAUGGAGCUAUUGCCGCACCUCUGCCACCCGUGCCUCCUGCUUUUCUCGCUCGGUGUGCUCCACGGCCGCAUUGUCUUCGGCCUUGGACAGCGCUUCCUUCAAGGUCGCCACCUCGGUUGUGGCCCCUGUAAUACUCACGUUGGUCCUAUCAUUAUUUGCAACCAGAUCUUUUUAUAUACUUACAUAAGGUACUACUUACCUUCCUUGUCCUCGAGCUGCUUCUUGGCAAGGCCGAGCUCGUUCUCGGACCGCUCGAGGCUCUGCUUCAAUGCAUCGACCUCUGCAGUCAGUGCGGCAGAGGUCAGCAGUGCAGCCUGCAUUCCCAUAUUGACAUACUUAUGUUAGACUCCUGCGUAUAUCUUUUUAGAUCCUCAGUCCGGCUUUUCUUUCCGAACACCAAACUGAGCAUCAGGGGCUACUGUCUAUGCGGUAAUAUUUUUACAUGUCUUAAAUACAUACCUCAAAGCCUGUUAGAAGUCUGGCACAGGCUUCUGUCAGCCCGCUCUUGGCGGACUGAACCUUCUGGAUCACCGCACUCAUAAUAGUGCGGUGCUCCUCGCCGAUGGAGGCACCGUUAAGCACCUCCAGCAAAUUAUCCGGUGCCUCCAGUUGGACGGAGGUCACCGGCGUCGUAGGCUUGCCCUUCUUGCUAGGGGGCCGCCUGCCGGACUCCAGAACCACUGAAGGUUUCGGUGCGGUGUCCAGCCCAGGGCCGGACUUAGAGCCCUUUGGGGUUUCAUCCCCUUUGCGCCUGGAGUCCGGGAGGUCGCCUUGCGGCGCCUUUAGGACCACCUCCUCCUGGCUUGGCCCCUUUUGGGACUCCACCUCGGCAUUGUCCGUAGGGCGAGGGGAGGUAGCAGUCGGGAGUGAAAGACUGUUCACAUCUGACAAAUCCCGGGAGCCGCUCGACAAAGCGUCGAGCCAGGCCUUGGGCGGACUGCAUGAUUAUAUUCGGCGUCAGAAGAUACUGUGCAAUAAAGGAAUGCCAUGAGUUAUUCUAGUAUCCGGAUACUUACGAUUUUGCCAGGGGCUUGGCCCUGGAUGGCCACUCCUCUUCGCCAUCGUCGGCGUUGGUGGAGUAGUCCGGAGGAAGGGUCUUUCCAUUCUUGGACCCUCCGGCCCCCCUAGUUGGGGCGGCCUUCCUUUUCUUUCCUCCCCCCGUUGGAGGGGGAGAGGCCUCUUCUUCCUCCUCCUCGUCUCUGUGGGAGGAGUGUGCUUCGGAGUCAUCGGACGAUGAAUCCGACAACACCAGGCGUCGGGAACUCUUUCGAGUUCCCGUGGCCUUCUUCUUGGCCUUCUUCUCCAGCACCACGUAAGGUGCCGGGACCAGCAGCUUCGCCAAGCGGGCAUCUGCUGGGCCUUCAGGCAAAGGAGCCGGACAGUCGAUCUGUCCGGACUUCUUCUACCAGUCAUGUCAAAGGAACGGGAGAUUAGAUCCCGUAUAGAGUCAAACUAUGAAAAAAAAGUAUCCCGUGAAGGGUAAAACAAGCUUACCAUGCUGGCUUGGCGCUUCACGCAGAAUCCGCGAUCCUCGGUAAUGGGAGGGGGAACCUCGGCGCCCUUGAAUAGCACCUUCCAGGCAUCCUCAUGCAUUGUGUCAAAGAGCCUGGACAAAGUUUGGUGCUGGGCUGGGUCGAACUCCCACAAGUUAAAAGCCCGUCGUUGACAUCAGAGGAUCCAGCGGAAGAGCAUGACCUGGACUACGUUGACAAGUUUAACCUUCUUGUCCACCAGGUUUUGGACGCAGGUUUGGAGUCCGGUCAGCUCUCCCGAAUUACCCCACGACAGGCCCGUCUCUUUCCAGGAGGUGAGCCGUGUGGGGAUGCCAGAUUGGAAUUCGAGGGCCACUGCCCAUUCAGGGUCACGCGGCUCGGUGAUGUAGAACCACCCCGAUUGCCACCCUUUGAUGGUUUCCACAAAGGAGCCCUCGAGCCAUAUUAUGUUGGGAAUCUUGCCCACCAUGGCGCCUUCGCACUCCGCUUGCUGGCCUCCCACUACCUUCGGCUUGACAUUGAAGGUCUUCAGCCAUAAGCUGAAGUGGGGCUUGAUGCGGAGGAAGGCCUCGCACACGACGAUAAACGCCGAGAUGUUGAGGAUGAAGUUCGGGGCCAGAUCGUGGAAAUCCAGGCCGUAGUAGAACAUGAGCCCCCGGACAAAUGGGUGGAGUGGGAAGCCCAUUCCGUGGGGGAAAUGGGGGAGGAACACCACCCUCUCAUGGGGCCUGGGGGUGGGGAUGAGCUGCCCCUCAUCUGGGAGCUGGUGUGCAACAUCAUUGGACAAGUAUCCGGCUUUCCUCAACUUUUUGAUGUGCCCCUCCGUGACGGAGGAGGCCAUCCACCUGCCUCCCACUCCGGCCAUGGCUGGAGAAGGUUGAGGUGGGAAGUGCGGACUUGGGCGCUGGAUCUCGAGUGCGCGGAAAUGGAUAAGCGGAGGAGGAAGAGGGCGUAGAUGAAAAAGGUGGAACCUUAUCCCCUUAUAUGGGCGGACGAAACUAUGUGCCCCCAGCCUGGUAAAACUCGCUUAUCUCCCAAGCGCCAUGAUUAAUGGCACGGUUGGGUUACCCACGCCCGUAUUGAUGAGAAUCCCGGAAUAAGGGGUCACGACCUCUGCUUCAACAAGACGUGCCAAGGAAACCACCACGCUAAACGCGCUGAGGUGGGACAGUAAAACGAUUCGAAUAAAGGCUUGGCCGUGGCGUGAUGUCACGCUGCGGAAUACGUCAGCAGAUUAGAUUGUACAAAUAUUAUUCUCUCUAUGGUGGUAUGUGGAACUUAUUUUGCAGAGCCGGACACUAUCCUUGUGUUCAAAAUCUUCUAUGAAGUAUUCGGAGGAGGAACACGCCUUGCAAUGUCGAAGACAAUCUGCGUGCUAGACUCGUCGUCAUUGAAGCCUGGUUCAGGGGCUACUAAGGGAGUCCUGGAUUAGGGGGUGCCCGGAUGAACGGACUAUAACCUUGGCCGGACUCCUGGACUAUGAAGAUACAAGAUUGAAGACUUCGUCCCGUGUCUGGAUGGGACUUUCCUUGGCGUGGAAGGCAAGCUUGGCGAUACGGACAUGUAGAUCUCCUCCCAUUGUAACCGACUCUAUGUAAGCCUAGCCCUCUCCAGUGUCUAUAUAAACCGGAGGGUUUUAGUCCAUAGGACGAACAACAAUCAUACCAUAGGCUAGCUUCUAGGGUUUAGCCUCUCUGAUCUCGUGGUAGAUCUACUCUUGUACUACCCAUAUCAUCAAUAUUAAUCAAGCAGGAGUAGGGUUUUACCUACAUCGAGAGGGCCCGAACCUGGGUAAAAACAUCGUGUCCCUUGUCUCCUGUUACCAUCCGCCUAGACGCACAGUUCGGGACCCCCUACCUGAGAUCCGCCGGUUUUGACACCGACAGUAGGCAUCAUGUCCAUGUCAAGUAGACCGAAACUAUUCUGCAUCUACUACUAUUACUCCACAAAUUGGCUGCUAUUUAGCAUGCAUCUAGAGUAUUAAGUUCAUAAAGAAUGGAGUAACGCAUUAAGUAAGAUGACAUGAUGUAGAGGAAUUAACUCGAGCAAUAUGAUGAAAACCCCAUCUUGUUAUCCUUGAUGGCAACAAUGCAAUACGCGCCUUGCUGCCCCUACAGUCACUAGGAAAGGACACCACAAGAUUGAACCCAAAGCUAAGCACUUCUCCCAUUGCAAGAAGGAUCAAUCUAGUAGGCCAAACUGAACCGAUAAUUCAAAGAGACUUGCAAAGAUAUCAAAUCACGCAUAUAAGAAUUUAGAGAAGAACCAAAUAAUAUUCAUAGAUAAUCUGAUCAUAAAUCCACAAUUCAUCAGAUCUCGGCAAACACACCGCAAAAGAAUAUUACAUCGAAUAGAUAUCCAAGAACAUCAAGGAGAACAUGGUAUUGAGAAUCAAAGAGAGAGAAGAAGCCAUCUAGCUAAUAACUAUGGACCCAUAGGUCUGCGGUAAACUACUCACACUUCAUUGGAGAGGUAAUGGUGUUGAUGUAGAAACCCUCCAUGAUGGAAUCCCCCUCCGGCAGGACGCCGGAAAAGGCCCCUAGAUGGGAUCUCAUGGCUACAGAAGGUUGCGGCAGUGGAAAAGUGGUUAUGUGCCUCUCCUGGAUGUUUUCAGGGUAUAAGAGUAUAUAUAGGCAAAGGAACUAGGUCAGGGGAGCGACGAGGGGCCCACGAGGUAGGGGCGUGCCCUUCUUCCCUUUCCUCAAGCUCUUCCUGGAUCUUCUCCAUAGUUGAUUGGAUCUCAGUGAUCUUCACAUCUAGAUCAUAAAUCUUUUUCUCAAUGAUCUUUUCAAGACUCGCUUGAUUUUGAGUAUGGGUGGCCAAUCCCUUCUCAAUCCUCAAAGUAGCCUCAAUCAGAUAGCUGAGUUGAUCCUGUUUGGUCUUGAGGAUCACAUGUGAAGCAUCUGGAGCACUAGCUGGCUUUGCUGCUUUCUCUGUCUUUGCUUUCUCUCUUUCUCCUGGGCUUCUGCACAUGUUGGAUGAGAGGCAUCCAUGACAACUUCGUUGUCCUCGAAUUCUUGCCUCAAGGGAAGAUGCUCUUCGUCAAGUAGAUAUAUCCCUUUCCCCAUCUUGGAGUUGAUGAGCAUCUGAAUGUGAGGGGCAUAUCCACAAGAUCUCUUUUGAUCAGCUGCAAUCCUUUCACUGUUUCAAUAAUGAGACUCAUGACCUUGAACUUCUAUGACACAUCAAAUAAAUGCAGCAAGUUGAUAUAAUGGCCACAUAUCAUCCUAUGAUCUCCUGACGUAGGCAGCAAAGUGUGCCUCAUAAUGGUGUUGAUAGUGGGUAAGCCAGAGAGAAGAUAGUAGAUGGAUCCAAAUUUAUGAGUCUCGAAAGCCUUAUCAGGAAUUUCCUGGUAUGUAUGUGCCAUGGAAUUGUGGUCCUUCCUGGUGUUUGCAUACACAUCAAUGUCAUUCUGUUCUUCAGUAGGGGCAUUGAUCAAGUUGGCCCAUUUAGCAAUAGUAGACUGAUAUCUUGUGCCUUCAGUCAUCCAUACUAUCUUACCAUCUGGAUAGAAGUGUGCAGUGGAGUAGAAUUGCAUAAUCAUCUCAUCAUUCCAUUUUGUUAGCUUUUGUCCAACAAAUUUGUCCACAUCAUUCAACCUGAAGCUGGCAUGCACUCCAGGGAAGUAAUCAGCAUUGUUAUCUAUGUACUUCCAGUCAACCCACUUCAUAUCAGAGACAAUGGGCUUCUUGUCCAGCAACACAGUUUCAUAGAAGUCCUGUUGUUCCUUGGUGUGGAAUCGAUAGUCAAUAGCAGUCCUUCUCCUCACGGCAUAAGGAUCAGACUGUCUCCACAGUCUUAGACCUGCAUCCUUCCUAUCCUUCAUGUUUUCAGCAAUGGGAUGGUUAUCAUCAUGAUCUGGUAUUUUGGGCUUCAGCUUCCUGAGCACUUGAUGUUCUUCUUCUUCUUUAACUUCAGGCACUGGGCCUUGUUCUUCUCAGCAGCAGAGAUAUUCCUGGUGGAUCUCUUUGGUAUAGAUGGCUUUGAAGCUUGAGCAGCAGCAGGCUUAGGGUUGUCUUGGGCUUAGAUGGAGCAGCCCCAGACUUGAUAGCAUCCCCCAUAAGCUUCUAGGUCUUUGCAGGAGGUGCAACAGGCUCUUCAUCCUCCUCUUCUUCAGAAUCCCUGACCAUAGAAGGCUUGCCAAUAACUCUGGCCAUAGUCUUCUUGACUCUUUCUUUCCUUUUCUUUCCUCCAGCAACCCCUUCUUCUCUUGGUUCAAGAGUGAACUCCAUAGAUUCCUGAAUGGAGGCUCUGGCUUUGGACAUGGGCACUCUCUUGGCAGGAGCUUUCUUCUUCAUGCCAGGCAUGGUGGAGCCAGCUGUACCAAAUUCCUUCUUGACAACUUUCUUCUUUGAGGUUACUUCCUCAACUUCAAAAUCCUCAUCCUCUGAAUCUAAGGUUCUCUUCUUCCUUUGCCUGACAGUGGCCUUAGGCAGGUUGCUUGGAGUGCUUCUGCUUCCUUCAUCAAAGCUGAUGUUGGAGGGACUAGUGCCUUCACUAAGAUUUGCUUGCUCCUCUGAUCUGUUCUGACUAUCAAUGUUGUCUGACAUCUUUGAAAUUGUCCCUGUGGAUAGAUAGGAAUAGGUAGAGUAGAUGAGCAUCAGAAAGCACAUCUAUUUUGGAAAAAAGUUAACACAAAAACUUAAUUUUAGUUUUCUGCAGAAAGCAUUUCAGAGCUACCAAUUUGCCCAACCCGGUGACACCAAAGCAGCUGCAGAGUCUAAAUGCGAUUUUGGUUAGACCGAGAUGCAGUUUGGUGACUCUAAGAUGCUAUGGUUUCACAAAGUCAGUGAUUUCGGUCACACCGAUUUGUACACUUUGGUCAGACUGAGUAGUACAUGUGCAAUGGCCUGAGCCAAAUCUGUGAGACCGAGACUUUUAGAUCGGUCGGUCCGAGAUGAAUUUGAUGGAAACCUAACCCUAAGUUUUUGCAUGAAAUCUAAUCUAAAGGAAGUUUUAGGUGGAUAGAUUAAUCUCAAUCGUGGCAAGAAACUUGUCAUUGAUCUUUGUGCAAGAAUCAGAGUUAAAGAGAGCACAAAGAGAUCGAGUCUGUACCCUAACUUGGCGGCAAACUCGCUAUGGCGACAACAACGAUGGAGAUUCCCGUUGACGGCGGUGUAGACCAGCGGCAGGAGGUCGCUGGCGACGAGGAGAUGAUCCAGAGACCUAGAGGGGCGGCAUAGCUGGGUAGGCGCGGUUGAGAGUUUGAUGAAAUUUCCAAAGUCCAACCCGCGGAGUAUAUAUACCCAGUCACUAUUGGUGUGACCAAGUGGAACGAUUCGGUGGCACCGAGAUGCAAAACUGUGAGCAGUUACUACAACUCGGUGUGACCGAACAGUUCUAAUUGGUUGCACUGAGGUGAAAAACCUAGAUCAACCUAAUGAUUUCUGUGAGACCAAGUAUGGUGGAUCGGUCUGACCGAGAUGCAUUAAGAGGUUUUGGAAGUUUAAGUCCUCGACGGUUCGGUGCCUCUGGGUGCUCCUCACUCGGAGGGUCCGAAUUCAACUUGUUCAAACUUUGUGAUGUAGCAAGAAUAGAGUUUGAGACGAGAAAAAGCAUAGAUAGCUAGAGGGAGUACUUAGGCAUUCUUGUCCAUCCAUUUGGCAAAAAGAAAAACCAAACAAUCAAAGCAACAAAUGGAUGUUCACGAAUGGAGAAAAUUAUGCACCAACAUGCUCACACAGUAAGAUAGCAAAUGAAAUAUGUGGCAAAGCAUGCACAAACACUCUAGCAUCUAUCAAUCAAUUGGCGAUGAAUAGGUCAUCUAUAUAUGAGUAUAUUGUCUUAGGAGUCAAAUGAGAACAUUUGAUCAUAGGUCAUACUCAUCGUUUAAGCACAAGUGGGGUUACCACUUUUACAUAAAGCAUUGUUUUGUUCACACCAUUAGAGUUGCUUUACCUGAAUUCUUAGAGUAAAGCUCCCCCUAGAUGUGAUAUCCCCUUUAAGAGGGAUGAACUAACCUUGGGUUUUGUCGAUGAUGACUUCAUGUAGAUGUUGAAGAUGUGGAUGCUUAAUGUUGAUGUAGAUCAUUUGGAGCAAUCCAUUGGAGUGAGUUGCACUUUCAAUACCUACAUGGGUUAGUCCCACAAGGAACAAACAAGAAUAUCCAUAGACAUAGAGUGAAUUACACAUAUGAUGAUGUCCAUGGAGGAAUUUGGUUACCUUGUCCCUAGACUUACCAAUAAGAGGGUUUGUGACUCCUUGAACUAGUGCAAGAUGUGGAAGUUGAUUGCACUUAUCCUUGCCAAUAUGAAUAUGAGUGAAGUAUGUUGGCGGAGUCACCCUCAAGAACUCUCUAGUUCUUCUUCUUUGGGAUCCACAUCAACUUGAUGGGAAUCCUUGGAGUUGUAGUAGUACUUGAUGAAGUAGAACUUGAUGUAGUCUUCGGAACCCACUUGACCAAGGCCUUUGGAGCUUCUUCAAAUGGAUAAAUCUCCUCCUGAAGCUUGUCCUUUCCUUUUAGCUUGUGGUUGUUGAGGGAGCCCUGGAUUAGGGGGUAUCCGGACAACCGAACUAUAUACUUUGGCCGGACUGUUGGACUAUGAAGAUACAAGAUUGAAGACUUCGUCCCGUGUCCGGAUGGGACUCUCCUUUGCAUGGAAGGAAAGAUUGGCGAUUCGGAUGUUAGAUCUCCUUCUCUGUAACCAACUCUGUGUAACCCUAGCCCCCUUCGGUGUCUAUAUAAACUGGAGGGUUUAGUCCGUAGGACAAGGACAACAAUCAUAAUCAUAGGCUAGCUUCUAGGGUUUAGCCUCUACGAUCUUGUGGUAGAUCAACUCUUGUAAUACUCAUAUCAUCAAGAUCAAUCAAGCAGGAAGUAGGGUAUUACCUCCAUCAAGAGGGCCCGAACCUGGGUAAACAUCAUGUCCCCAGUCUCCUGUUAGCAUUAGCCUUAGACGCGCAGUUUGGGACCCCCUACCCGAGAUCCACCGAUUUUGACACCGACAUUGGUGCUUUCAUUGAGAGUUCCUCUGUGUUGUUGCUGUAAGGCUCGAUGGCUCCUUCAAUCAUCAAUAACGACGCGGUCUAGGGUGAGAAUUUUCUCCCCGGACAGAUCUUCGUGUUCGCCGGCUUCGCACUGUCGGCCAAUUCGCUUGGCCAUCUGGAGCAGAUCGACAGCUACGCCCCUGGCCAUCAGGUCAGGUUCGGAAACUUGAAUUACACGGACGACAUCCGCGGAGACUUGAUCUUUGACGGAUUCGAGCCUACGCCAGGAGUCGCGACGAGCACGACUUAGAUCUGCUGUUGGACAGUAUUUAGGAUAUCGCACCUCCAGCAGAUCCGGACCUAAAUCUGGGGCAGAUCGCAUCGUCUGAGGACGGGUGGAUGGACCCCGCCACGGAGGCCGCAUACUCAUCGGCGGUAGAGCCGAACAUAGACUCCACCUCUAAGGAAAUAUGUGUCACCGGACCCCCGGACUUGUGUCCGGCUGUAGGUUUCAGACCGCGCGCGCCCGGGCCCAUCGAAUCCGAUUGGGCUUCGGUAAUGGAGUUUACCACUGCGGAUAUCUUUCAGCACUCGCCCUUCAGCGAAGUGCUGAAUUCAUUAAGGUCUCUCUCUUUGUCAGGAGACUCUUGGCCGAACUAUGUCCAGCUCGAGUGGGAAGCAAAUGACGAAGAAAUUUGUUACCCACCCACCACCCACUUCAUUGCCACUGUCGAUGAUUUAACCGACGUGCUUGACUUCGACUCCGAAGACAUCGACAGUAUGAACGACGAUGCAGGAGAAGAACAGGAACCACCGCCCACAGGGCGCUGGACAACCACCUCCUCAUAAGAUAUAUAUAUAUAUAUAUAUAUAUAUAUAUAUAUAUAUAUGGUGGACACCCCCAAAGAAAACAAUGGUGAUGAGGCAAUAGAGGAUAACCCCUUAGCGAAGCAAUCAAAGCUUGGGCGUCACCAGCGCCGCUCUAAGCUCCGCCACAGCAAUUCCGACACAAGAGAUGAAAACAAUCCAGAUGGUGCCGAAGAUGAAUACAACCCCGAUCAGCCUACCUUCGAGCAUGUCGGACAGGGAGACGGGCUGACUAGCCCAGAUAAACAGGUGACGGACGGAGACUUGGAGGAUGACAAUUAUAUGCCUCCCUCCGAAGACGAGGUGAGCCUCGGCGACGAUGAAUUCGGCAUGCUUGAGGAUCCCGUAGAGCAGGAGCGCUUCAAGCGUCGGCUUAUAGCCACUGCAAGAAGCCUGAAAAAGAAGCAGCAGCAGCUCCAAGUUGAUCAAGAUCUACUCAAAGACAAAUGGACUGAGGUCCUGGCAGCCGAGGAAUACGGACUCGAGCGCCCCACCAAAGGUUAUCCAAAGCACAAGUUGCUACCUCAACUCAAGGAGGAGGUCCUAGAGCCUACACUACUAGCACAGGACGAGGCUGACCGGCCACCUCGUGGCCGAGACAAAACGGCGUAUCAGCCCGAAUACUAGCCCGCACCCCCACGCCAAUACAAUACGGCCCGGGGCAAUACGCAGGACCUGUGAGACAUAUUGGAAAACAAAGCAGGACAGCCCAGAUCGAUCUACAGAUCAUGGGGGCGCGCCCCAGCACAUGACGAUGACCGUCAUGCCAGAUACACUAACAAUAAAUCCGGCCGGGCCAAACAUAACCGACCAGACUUAGUCGAACUGCGUCGUGACAUAGGCUGGCAUAGAAGCGCCGCACACCCCCUCUGCUUCACUGAUGAAGUAACAUAUCACGACUUCCCAGAAGGGUUUAAACCCGCAAACAUCAAAUCAUACGAUGGCGCAACAGACCCCGUGGUAUGGAUCGAAGAUUUCCUUCUCCACAUUCACAUGGCCCGCGGUGAUGAUCUACAUGCCAUCAAGUAUCUUCCGCUUAAACUCAAAGGACCGGCCCGACACUGGCUGAAUAGCCUGCCAGUGAACUCCAUCCGCAGUUGGGAAAACCUGGAGGACCCGUUCCUCAACAACUUCCAAGGCACCUACGUGCGACCACCGGAUGCUGAUGACUUAGGUCACAUUACCCAACAGCCCGGAGAGUCAGCCAGGAAAUUCUGGACUCGGUUCCUAACCAAAAAAACUAAAUCACCGACUCUCCGGAUACCGAAGCCACAUCAGCCUUCAAGCAUAAUAUCCGGGACGAGUGGCUCGCCCGAUACCUCGGCCAAGAGAAACCGAAGUCCAUGGUGGCCCUAACGACACUCAUUACCCACUUUUGUGCGGGCGAAUAUAGCUGGCUGGCUCGUAACAACAACACAGCAAACACCCUUGGCACAUCAGAGGCUAGAGACAGCAUCCAUAAACCUCGACGCAACAAACAUAAGCGUCACAAGAACAAUGAUGACGCCCAAGACACGGCAGUCAAUGCCGGAUUCCGUGGCUCCCAGUCCGGUCAGCGGAAAAAGACACUUCAAAAAAGCAAUUCGGGCCCAUCCGGCAUGGACCGCAUACUUGACCGCCCAUGUCAAAUUCAUGGUACCCCAGGAACAGCAGCCAAUCAUACCAAUAGAGAAUGUCGGGUCUUCAAACAAGCCGGCCAGUCACGCGCCGAAAACAAUAGAGGGGUCUCAAAGCAAUGAAGACAACGAGGAGCCCAGACCAUCAAGCAAUAUAGGGCAAAAGAAACUUCUCCGCAAACCAACAUAGUGAAACGUGAUAAACACCACCCUGGAGGUUGUCUUCGGAUCACCAAACAAUCACCAUACCGAAGAGUCAGUCUUCGACAUUGUCCCCCUAUACAGCAACUAUUACGUACUACCGGGACGAACCACGUUGGAUCGAUUCAACGCGUACCACACCGUGCCUAUGGCAAGCUUAAAAUACCAGGCCCACGUGACAUAGUCACAAUUACGGGCAAGGCCGAACUCCACCCCGGUGUCGAAGAGUAUACCGCCACUGAAGCAGCGAGUCGUGCCUCUUUAUCGAACCUUGAUUCGACAGCAAACCUCCCGGACACCAACAAAGGAGUCCGAACUACUUCACGGCAGGAUAGCUCGGCUCGACCAGGCGUCAAUCAAACACUCUGGCAUAAGUUGGGAAGGGUCACACCCCGCGGUUCAACCGCUCCAUGACACACAAAUGUCUCUAAGCAUUUUUCUUUGCAGGCUCGCUUUUGCGUAGAACAGGACUGGCGACGUGGAAUCAGCUUAGAUGCACAAGGAGGGAAUAUAUAAAUACUCCCCCAAAAGACAAUCCGUAUAUACUUCGGAUCCGCACACAGCUUCCUCCCGCCCGGUCUCAACAGGUUCCGCCAUCAUACCUCUUAAUAUAGCAUUAACCGCACUCAUACGCAUAAACGUGUCACUCACAACAUAUAGAGUUACAGGACGCUUACAUGCUGUCAUUUCUCAUUGACACCUUUCGUCGUAACGGCAUCCGCACAUUGUGUCAUGCCUUAAUACGCCAGGGGCUUCAUUAUACCCAUACUAUGGCAACAAAGUCCAGCCACCCUCUCGGUUGCUCGGCACCCCGAACUUAUAGUAUUAUAUGCAUCAGCUCCGAAUCAUGUCUUGGGUCAUUAGUUGGGUUUGCCUGGCUCCCAUGUUUUGGUACCUUAUGUUCUGCUAUAUCGGCUAAGGUAACGCUGGGAGAACUACUGUGAUUGUGUCCUGGUUCUUCCGGACGAGCACCUCAGUAGAGAAAGCCGAAAACUAACUGUCAUAAUAAGGCAAGAGUUGGUCAGCUGUUCGAGAGGUUGUAAAAUCUUUAAGGAUUUAUUCCGCAUAAUGACAUAAUAAAUGCAGAGUGCGACGGAUCGGUCUUCCAAUCAGGUGCUGUUAGAGCCCCUCGUGCGGUCUUCCGAACACCAGGGGUUGCGCCUACCAUACUCGAAUUCCUAUGGCUAAGUGAGAGUGAUAAAGCCCUAUAGUCUGAUUGCCUGGUUCGCUAUGUUGAACACCUCCUUUAAGGACCCAAAAAUGGGAUAAAGAGUGUUCAGGUUUAUCUCGAACACCCCUAUACUACCUACGUGGGGGCAGAAGCCGACAACUGGCCAACUCUCAAGAUUAAUAUAUAAAACGGCCGCGCGGGAGAAAAAACUUUCAUAGAACAGGCAAUACAUAAAUAAAGGUGACUUUGUUCCGCCUUACAAAGGACAGCAUGAUUGUCUUCAUGGAAAUACAAUGUCUUUGGUACAUUGCUCCGCCAAAAGGCGGGCUCCUUUCAGGACACCAUCACAAUAUAGUUCGGGCUUGCGGUGCUCCUUCCCCUCGGGCGGUCCCUCGGUCAUCAGCUUCUCAGCAUCCAGCUUUCCCCAGUGCACUUUCGCGUGGGCAAAUGCCAUUCGCGCACCUUCUAUACAGACCGACUGCUUAAUGACUUCGAGCCGAGGACAAGCACUCACAAUUCACUUCACGAGCCCAAAGUAACUGCUUGGAAUUGACUCGGCAGGCCAUAGCCGGACAAUCAAGUCCUUCAUGGCUAGUUCGGCCGCCUGGUGCAGUUCGACCAGCUGCUUCAGCUAAUCGACAAAUGGCACCGGAUAAUUCAGCGCCAAAUACUGCGACCAGAAGAGCUUUUCUGCAGUCUUCUUCUCCUUAGCUCGAUAGAAUUGAGCGGCAUCAGAUAUGCUGCAGGGCAGCUCCGCAAACGCCCCUGGAGAAAUCAGUUCAAUUUGUCAUCUUGAACUUCUCCUAUUACUACAUAGAAAUGGCUUUGAAUAAGAAACAGCCUUACCUACCGCAAUCUUCCUCGCCUCCUGAAUGUCCUUCAGAGCACCUUGGGCUUCUUCCCGAGCAUCAUUUUGCAGCUUGGAGAGCUUGAGCGAGUUCGGAUUCCUUCCCUGAUAAACUCUGCUCCAAAGUCUCGCUUUUCUUAACGGCCUCCUGGAGCUCUCAUUCAGCUGCAAUGACCUUGGCCUCGUGCUUCUCACGAAGAGCCUGCUCCGUGGCUGCCUUCUUUUCGGCUACAUCCACAGCCUUCUUAAGCGCCUCAAUUUUGGUGUUUGUCCCUAGAGCGUGCAAUAUAAAUACUUUUAUCCGGCACACAUACUUAUUUGUGCUAAAAAUAACAAGGUUUCGACAUACCUCGAUUGUCCUCCAACUGUUUCUUUACUCGGCCAACUUCUUCUUCGGCCCGCUCUAGACUCUGCUUUAGUCCGGAUACCUCCGCGGUAUGGGAGGCAGCAGUCACUAUAGAUGCCUGUUUAUAAAAGAAGAAGGACAUGUCAUCAGCUAAGUAUCCUGCGAACAGAAAUUUGAUCCCCUGUCCGGUUCUCUUUUUCACCAGACAGUGUAUCAGGGGCUACUAUCCAUACUGUGACAAUCUACAAAAGCUCCUAAAAGCAUACCUCAAAGCCUCUUAUAAGGCUGAUGCAGGAUUCAUUCAGACCACUCUCCGCAGACUGAAUCUUUUCAAUCACCGCGCCCAUAAGGGCGCGAUGUUCAUCAAUGAUGGAAGCACUCUUUAGCAUUGUCGAUAAGCUGCCUUGCGGCUCUGGUUGGACAGAGGUCAUCAGCGGAGCAGGCUCGCCUCCUCCAGCCAAGGGGGGCUGCAUGCCCGAUCCUGGAGCCUCAAAGCUUUCUGGGACUAUGUUCGGCUGUGGGCCGAAUUCACGAUCACCCCUACCGUCGACACUCAUGGGAGCCGCCACUCUCGUAUAUCCGGCCCCUAAGGUAUGCUCCUCCUUGUCCAGGUCCCUCUGGGAUGACACCUCAGUGUCAUGCCUGAGCUUCGGGGAAGGGGCCUUCAGGGGCGUCUCGCUCUCUAGGGCAUCUGAGCUCAACGAAUCCUCCGAUGAGGACUGUUCGGCGCGAGACCUCACCGGGCUGCAAAAAGUGUGGCACCAAUUAAUUUAUUAUGCCUCAAUAAUCCUGGACGCAUAGGUGUGUUCGGAUUUCGUGUACUCAUGAGUUUUCCAGGGGCUGGGCCCUGGGAUCCCACUCCGGGCUGCUGUCGGUAGCCAUAGUGGACGCCUCUGGCAGGGGAGUUUUUCCCCUCUUAGGCAAUUCGGCCUCCAGAGAUGAGGAGGUCGUCCUUUUCUUUCCUCCCCCCAUGGGGGACUCGUCUUCUUCCUCCUCUUCUUCCUCUUCAGAGGAGAGAUGGGCAUUGGAGUCUUCGGAUUUUGUGUCCGAAGCAUUGCAACGACGAAGGCCGCUUCUGGUCUCCUUGGCCUCUCUGUAGGCCUCUUUCUUUGGCGCCUCGUAAGGCGCCGGGACCAACAUCUUUGUCAGAAGUGGUCCGGCUGGAUCUUCUGGCAGCGGGGCUGGACAGUGUAUCAGCCCCGCCUUCUUCGUCCAUCCCUAGGAUAAUUGUGGGAAGCACGUUAGAGCAUCUUCCUCGGGAUAUGCCAAUGAAACAUAUGGAUGGACAAAACAUAAUGACUUACCGGACUUGCAGGGCAGGACAGUUGGUACCCGCGGUCCGCGGCGGAGUCCGGCCACAGUUUCUCGGACUUAAAAAGCACCUUCCAGAUGUCCUUGUGUGAGGAGCCAUAAAGCUCUCACGGGCUCUGGUGCUCGGCCGGGUCAUACUCCCACAAAUUGCAGGCUCGGUGCUGACAAGGACCAGGCGGACCAACAUCACCUGGACUACAUCCACAAGCUUGAUGACCUUAUCUUCCAUACCCUUGACGCGUGUCUAGAGCAUCGAUAGUUCGUCGGACGAAGACUAGUUCAAGCCCUUUUUGGGCCAGGACGUAAGCCGCAAGGGGGCUCCGGAUCGGAAUUCGGGAGCGGCGGCCCACUUUUUGCCGCGCGGCUCAGUGAUGUAGAACCACUGCUGCUGCCACUCCAUGACGGAAUCAUUGAAAGUACCUGUCGGCCAUGUGACCUUGGGCAUCCUGCUCACCAUGGCGCCUCCGCACUCUGCGUGCUCGUCGUUCACCACCUUGGGCUUCACAUUGAAGAUCUUCAGCCAUAAGCCGAAGUGUGGCGAGAUGCGGAGAAAGGCCUCGCACAUGAUGAUAAACAUCGAGAUGUUGAGGAAGGAAUUAGGGGAUAGAUCAUAAAAAUUGAUCCCAUAAUAAUACAUGAUGCCGCGAACAAAUGGGUGAAGGGGAAACCCGAGCCCGCGAACGAAAUGAGGGAGGAACACAACCCUCUCAAGGGGCUCCGGAGUAGGGACGAUAUGUCCGGCCGUCGGAAGAUGUCGGAUUUCGGGUUCCGGCAGACCCUCUAGGUUCGAACACUGGGGUGCGUACGGAGAUUUCUCCCUCUACCUACCUGCACCUUGCCGCCUCGCUAGGAUCUAAGCUACGAAAGGAACAACACAAGAGACACAAGGUUUAUACUGGUUCAGGUCACCAUUGUGGUGUAAUACCCUACUCCAGUGUGUGGUGUGUGCAUUGCCUCUUGGGCUGAUGAUGAACCAUACAAGGAAGAACAGCCUCGCGAGGGUCUGUUCUUGGCUGGUGCGAUGAACUGCUAGGGGGAGUUCAGUUGCUCUUUCUACUGGUUUCCAGAUGAUGAUCUGAUUGCUCUACCUUGUGGGUGGCUAGUCCUAUUUAUAGGCAAAGGCCCUGGGCCUCUUCCCAAAUAUUGAGCGAGAAGGGCGCCAACAAUUGGCCAUUUCGAAGGGGAACAUCUAGUACACUUAUCCUGACUAAAGUUGGUCCUCGCCUGUCAAAGGCUCUGGUGGUGAUGCCGGCUUGGGCUCCACAAUGACCUCCUUCCUGUCGUUGCGUCGGUCUUGGUCUUGUUGCACCGAAACGGAUGCCUUUGCCUGAUGCUCUCGCCUGCACUUGCUCCCUUUGCACCAAAGAGGAAACAAGGAUUCUGCGCAGGCCGGCGCCCGCCUGGCGCCCGCCUGGCUUUGGUCAUCAUGGCUUGCAUCAUGGGCACCUCGUGAGGUACCCCGACUUGAUCUCUCCGCCUCCUCGCGAGCCAGCCUGACGAGGCCAUGCCUGACGAGCUCCCUGUCGUCCACCCUGCGAAGCUUGGCCCCUCGCGAGGGUCUUGAGCUCGUGUUGAUGAAGAUGGGCCGUGCUGGGCCGCCCCUUGAGCCACGUCGUAGGCCGCAGGCAGGCAAGUCUGGGGACCCCCGUUCGCAGAACGCCGAUAGUAGCCCCCGGGCCCAAGGCGUGCCCGGACUUGGCUGAGCUGAGAAGCGAAGGGGCAAGUGCGAAGCGCCGCGGGCCCUAACAGCCUGCGGCCUUGGGCACCGUGUGGCGGUUGAUUGGACGUGGGCAGCUCCGCUCCCCCACGACACCUCGGCAAUUGCACGAACUGACAAGUCCCUGCAUGCAAAGCGGGUCAUGAUUACCUGUGAUCGUGGAGGCCGGUGGUUGGCCUCCUCUGGCUAUAAGUACGGGACGACGCCUGCCCUUCCGGUCCAUCCCCUCUUGCUUCUCCUUCUUCUUCAUGGCUCCGCCAAAGAGGUUUUCGGCCGCAGAGAAAGGGAAGGCCCGCCAAGUGGGGCCUGACCCUCCCCCACCCAAGCGCGGUCGAGGCUGUCCCCGUAAGCACCCUGCAACUCCCAUGGUGGCUCCUCGCGGCCGCGGAGGUGAUCUCCCGCAUGGUGACGGGCGGCAGGCCGCCGCUGGGGGGCGUGCCAUGGCCGCGCGACCCCUUAGGCUGCGCUCCCACUAGGCAGAGGUUCUGCCGGAGUUCGUUGUGUGGUCGGCGGAACCGGCCAGCACCCGGCUCCAACUUCCUCGCUUCCUCCUAGGUGAGCUUCCGGGUGGCGCCCCGGGCGGCCUCUGGCUUCAGGCGGACGGUUGCUGCAGCCGAGCCUCCUGGGCUUCGCUGGAGGUCUCUGCAGCUGGCAGCCUGGCCCUGGCCCGCGGCUGGCAAAUGUUUGCCCGCGCACGUGGUCUGAGCCGGCGGUGCACCCUUUACUUCAAGUUAGACGGUGAUGCCACCCUCUAUGUGAGGGUGUUCGAGGAAGAUGGUCGCCGCGCUGGGUGCUACCCUGAGAACGACGAUCACGGUUGUGGAUCCAGCCCCAGCGAUGAUGAAGACGACAGCGCGCGUGUGGUCAGCGGCCCUCGUGGUUCAUCGAGCUUUGACGACUCUUCUUCGGGCAGCGGUGAAGGAAAUAUGCCCUAGAGGCAAUAAUAAAGUUAUUAUUUAUUUCCUUAUAUCAUGAUAAAUGUUUAUUAUUCAUGCUAGAAUUGUAUUAACUGGAAACAUAAUACAUGUGUGAAUACAUAGACAAACAUAGUGUCACUAGUAUGCCUCUACUUGACUAGCUCGUUUAUCAAAGAUGGUUAUGUUUCCUAGCCAUGGACAAAUGAAUUGUCAUUUGAUUAACGGGAUCACAUCAUUAGAAGAAUGAUGUGAUUGACUUGACCCAUUCCGUUAGCUUAGCACUUGAUAGUUUAGUAUGUUGCUAUUGCUUUCUUCAUGACUUAUACAUGUUCCUGUAACUAUGAGAUUAUGCAACUCCCGUUUACCGGAGGAACACUUUGGGUGCUACCAAACGUCACAACGUAACUGGGUGAUUAUAAAGGAGUACUACAGGUGUCUCCAAAGGUACAUGUUGGGUUGGCGUAUUUCGAGAUUAGGUUUUGUCACUCCGAUUGUCGGAGAGGUAUCUCUAGGCCCUCUCGGUAAUGCACAUCACUAUAAGCCUUGCAAGAAAUGUAGCUAAUGAGUUAGUUACGGAAUGAUGCAUUACGUAACGAGUAAAGAGACUUGCCAGUAACGAGAUUGAACUAGGUAUUGGAUACCGACGAUCGAAUCUCGGGCAAGUAACAUACCGAUGACAAAGGGAACAACGUAUGUUGUUAUGCGGUUUGACCGAUAAAGAUCUUCGUAGAAUAUGUAGGAGCCAAUAUGAGCAUCCAGGUUCGCUAUUGGUUAUUGACCAAGAAUAGUUCUAGGUCAUGUCUACAUAGUUCUCGGACCCGUAGGGUCCGCACACUUAAGGUUUGGAUGACGGUUAUAUUAUGAGUUUAUGAGUUUUGAUGUACCGAAGGAGUUCGGAGUCCCGGAUGAGAUCGGGGACAUGACGAGGAGUCUCGAAAUGGUCGAGAUGUAAAGAUCGAUAUAUUGGAUGACUAUAUUCGGAGUUCGGAAAGGUUCUGAGUGAUCCGGGUAUUUUCGGGGGUACCGGGGAGUUACGGGAAUACGAGGAAGAAGCAAUGGGCCUCAUGGGCCAAGUGGUGGAAGAGAGGAGGCAGGGCGCGCGGCCCCCCUAGCCCAAACCGAAUUGGACUAGGGGGCCGGCCCCCCUUUCCUCUUUUUCCUCCCUCUCCUUCCUUCUCCUUCUCCUUCCCUUCCUUCCCCUCUCCUAGUUGGACUAGGAAAGGAGGGAGUCCUACUCCCGGUGGGAGUAGGACUCCUCCCUUGGCACGCCCCCUCUUAGGCCGGCCGCACCUCCCCCUCCCUCCUUUAUAUACGGGGGCAGGGGGGCACCCCACAACAACACAAGUUGAUCUACGGAUCGUUCCUUAGCCGUGUGCGGUGCCCCCCUCCACCAUAUUCCACCUCGGUCAUAUCGUCGCGGAGUUUAGGCGAAGCCCUGCGCCGGUAGAGCAUCAUCAUCGUCACCACACCGUCGUGCUGACGGAACUCAUCCCCGACACUUUGCUAGAUCGGAGUCCGGGGAUCGUCAUCGAGCUGAACGUGUGCUGAACUCGGAGGUGCCGUACGUUCGGUACUUGGAUCGGUCGGAUCGUGAAGACGUACGACUACAUCAACCGUGUUGUCAUAACGCUUCCGCUUACGGUCUACGAGGGUACAUGGACAACACUCUCCCCUCUCGUUGCUAUGCCAUCACCAUGAUCUUCAGUGUGCGUAGGAAAUUUUUUGAAAUUACUACGUUUCCCAACAAGCGGCUCCUCCAGCGGUGGCCGCGAUCAGCCUCCGGCCCGCCGCGCCCGCCUGGAGGGAGGUAGCGGGUCCACCCGCCGUCGCGCCUCAGUGAAGCGCAAGAUGGAGUCCUCUUGAGCUCCGGAGGCAGUUCGAGUCUCCGCCGCGAGUUGGUGUCGGACGAGUCGCGCCUGUUUUGUUCAUUUUUUCCUGUGCAAAGAGACAGUAGUGCAGGGCCCCGCGAGGGUGUUCUUGGACUAUUGCUGUUAAUUAUCUUACUGCUUCCGCUAUUGCGGUAUUGUGCCUUUGUGCCGCGCGCCUGCACGCAGAAAUUACUUAGCUCGGGGGAGGCCCGUUGUGACCUUUGCUUCCUGAGGCCGAGGCCUUGUCGAACGCUUCGAGUCCUGUGAGGGUUAGUCUAAAGAGGUAGCUCCCGGCCUCAGCUGCGGAGGCGACCGACCCAGGUCCUGUGUUCGUGUCACGGUGCCCGUGGGGCAUGGACUGGAGGGGUGCUCCUGUAGUGGACCCGGGUAGGGAAGCCUCAAACAAUAAGGGCAGAAAACACUCGCGAGGGUGCCUGCGUUGCUCCCUCACGAGACUUGCGCGAGAGAAAUUGGGGCAGGAGAGCAAAAAAGGCAAAGAGUCACAAGCCAAAGACGACAACAACUUCAAAAAAACCUCGAAUGGGGAUGAACAAGCCAGCCAACUGCAAAAAGCAAAUGAGAAAAGCCGCGUCCGGCACCUAAUCUAGUCUUCGACGUCUUCUCACCAGCACGGAGCUAAAUGCUGCCACUAGGUGUGGGAGGGAGCCCCAGGGCCUGAGGUCGGCCCUCCUGAGACUCCGGGGCGUGUACAGCCCCAACUCAUUAUUAUGUGAGAGUGUCACGGGCGGCGAGCUUCACAGGCAUUGGCCUUCUUCACAGGCUCCGGGCCUUUCUCAGGGAGAUAAACUUCACAGGCAUUUGCCUUCUUUACAGGCACCGGGCCUUUUCCAAAAUGCGACAGCUUCACAGGCGUUCGCCUUCUUCACAGGCUCUGGGCCCUUUCCAAAACACGACAGCUUCAUAGGCGUUCGCCUUCUUCACAGGCUCUGGGCCUUUUCCAAAACGCGACGGCUUCACAGGCGUUUGCCUUCUUCACGGGCUCUGGGCCUUUUCCAAAAUGCGACAGCUUCACAGGCGUUCGCCUUCUUCACAGGCUCUGGGCCUUUUCCAAAACGCGACAGCUUCACAGGCGUUCNNNNNNNNNNNNNNNNNNNNNNNNNNNNNNNNNNNNNNNNNNNNNNNNNNNNNNNNNNNNNNNNNNNNNNNNNNNNNNNNNNNNNNNNNNNNNNNNNNNNNNNNNNNNNNNNNNNNNNNNNNNNNNNNNNNNNNNNNNNNNNNNNNNNNNNNNNNNNNNNNNNNNNNNNNNNNNNNNNNNNNNNNNNNNNNNNNNNNNNNNNNNNNNNNNNNNNNNNNNNNNNNNNNNNNNNNNNNNNNNNNNNNNNNNNNNNNNNNNNNNNNNNNNNNNNNNNNNNNNNNNNNNNNNNNNNNNNNNNNNNNNNNNNNNNNNNNNNNNNNNNNNNNNNNNNNNNNNNNNNNNNNNNNNNNNNNNNNNNNNNNNNNNNNNNNNNNNNNNNNNNNNNNNNNNNNNNNNNNNNNNNNNNNNNNNNNNNNNNNNNNNCUUCACAAGCUCUGGGCCUUUUCCAAAACGCGACAGCUUCACACGCGUUCGCCUUCUUCACAGGCUCUGGGCCUUUUCCAAAAUGCGAGAGCUUCACAGGCGUUCGCCUUCUUCACAAGCUCUGGGCCUUUUCCAAAACGCGACAGCUUCACAGGCGUUCGCCUUCUUCACAGGCUCUGGGCCUUCUCAGGGGUAAAACCUCUGGAGGUGCUGAAUGUUCCACGCGUUCUAGACGGGUACCCCCUCCUGAGUCUCCAAGCGCGUGGAGUCGGGCCUAGAAACAUGAACAACCUUGAACGGGCCCUCGCACAUGGGAGAGAGCUUAUGCAGUCCCUCCCUGGAGAGAACCCGCCUGAGCAUGAGGUCCCCUACCUCGAGAGUCCUGGGGCGGAUGUUGCGGCGGUGGUAUCGCCGCAACGCUUGUUGGUAUCUUGCCGCUCGGAGUGCGGCUUCCCGACGACGCUCCUCCGCCAGCACGAGGUCCGUCCCCCGCAUGGCGUCCUGCUGCGCCUCGUCGAACGCUAGGACCCGCGCGGAACGAUGUCUGACCUCGUGAGGGAGGACCGCUUCAGCUCCAUAGACCAGGAAGAAUGGGGUCUCGCCAGUUGGUUUGGUCGCGGUCAUGCGGAUGGACCACAACACGGACUGAAGCUUGUCGUACCAACCUCGGCCCCAGGCCUCCAGCUUCUUCUUGAAUAUCCUGGUCUUGAGGCCUCUCAGGACCUCCGCGUUGGCCCGCUCGGCUUGACCGUUGCUCCGGGGAUGCGCCAUGGAAGCGUAGCAUAUCUGCGUUCCAAGGUUAGCACGGUAUGUUUUGAAGAGGUUACUAGUGAAUUGCGAACCAUUGUCGGUGAUGAUGCGGUUCGGCACCCCGAACUGGCUCAUGAUGCCCUUGAUGAACUUGACCGCAGAACCUGCGGGGAUGGUGCGGACGGCUUCCACUUCAGCCCACUUGGUGAACUUGUCCACGGUGACGUAGAGGUAGCGAUAGCCCCCUGGAGCCCGAGGAAAUGGGCCCAGGAUAUCCAGCCCCCAGACUGCGAAUGGCCACGAGAGGGGUAUAGUUUGCAGACCUCCCGCCGGCUGAUGGAUCUGCUUGGCAUGGAAUUGGCAGGCCUCACAAGCCUUCACCAGUUCGACGGCAUCAUUGAGCGCAGUGGGCCAAUAGAAUCCACUGCGGAACGCCUUGCCAAUGAGGGUCCGUGAUGAUGAAUGAUGCCCACAGUCUCCACCGUGUAUAUCCGCCAGCAAUUCCUUCCCUUGCUCCCUAGAGAUGCAGCACAGGGACACAUCAUUCGGUCGCCUCCGGUAGAGUUCUCCAUCUCUGAUGUAGUAUGUUGUGGCUUGCCGCGCCACACGCUCCGCUUCCUCCUCCUUCUCUGGCAAGGUCCCUUGCAUCAAAUAGCUCCGGAGCUCCAUGAUCCAGCACCCCUCCCGAGGCUCCAUCGUCAAGAGCAGACACACCCCUGAGGCCGGGCCGCAGACUAGGGCUCCCGAGGCUGGCGGCUGGGGGAGCUCCUCUCGAGGCUGCACCGCGCUCGACAGCGAUGGCGUGGCCGAGGGCUUGAAGAGCCGCUCCUCAAAGACGCCAGGCUCCUGAGGUAGCCACCUGGAUGCUCGUUUGGCGAUGUCGUCGGCCUCCUGAUUGGUGCCACGGGGCACAUGCUGCAACUCUAGCCCCCAUAACUGCUUCUCCAUCCUGCGAACCUCCGCAAGGUAGGCUUCCAUGUGCUCAUCCCUCGGCUCGUAUACUUUGUUGGAGAAGUUGACGAGGAGUUGUGAAUCCCCCUUGAUGGUAAGGCGCUUCACUCCUAGGGCGGCCGCGGCCUUCAGGCCUGCUAUUAAGCCUUCAUAUUCUGCUAUGUGGUUGGAGACCUUUUCUCCGUGCUGGAAACAGAGCUGCACGGCGUAGUAGAGCUUGUCUUGAGUAGGAGAUAUAAGCACCACACCAGCCCCCGCGCCGUACCUGGAGAACGCCCCGUCGAAGUACAUGACCCAACCGUCCGGUGCCUCGCUUCCCGGGGAGAGGGAUCUAUCGUCAUCAGCCUUGAGGCCCGGCGCCUCCGUCCACUCUGCCAUGAAAUCUGCCAAGGCGGCCCCCCUGAUGACUCUGGUUGUGCUGAAUUCGAGAUGAAACGCUUGCAGUUCAAUGUUCCACUCAGCGACUCUUCCAGCUGAGUUAGGGCUCCUGAGCACCCUUUCCAAAGGGCACGCUGAGACAACCUUGAUGGGGUGGUCCUGAAAAUAAUGCCGCAGCUUGCGCGAGGCCACCAAUAGCGCGAGGAGGAGUUUCUGAGGCAUGGGGUACCGCGCCCUUGCAUCCCGCAACACUGUGCUGACAAAGUACACAUGAUGUUCAACGAGGUUGGGAAUGCUGGUGUCGAUGGCGCCCUCCGGAGACCGUGGCGCCUCCUAAGACAGGGGAGCCCCCAGUGGCUGGUCGCUGGGGGGAGGGGUCUCUGCCGUCCCGAGUGUAUUCCCCAGCGGCGGCUGAUCCUUCUUGGUUGUGGUAGUGGUCUCUGUGGGUCUUCCUUGUUCACGCUUCGCCUCGACCCAGGCAAAUGUUUUAGCCUUGUUCCGACGCUCCUCCCUAACCGCCACCAGGGCUGCGCUGGCGGAGUAGGGAGUGGCUGCAAGGUAGAGCACCAGGGGCUCCUGAGGGCGCGGGGCCACCAUUACCGAAGGGCUGGUUAGGUACCUCUUGAGAUCUUAGAACGCCUUGUCGGCCUCUUCAGUCCAUUCAGAGGGUCCCUUUUUCUUCAUCAGCUAGAAGAAAGGCAGCGCUCGCUCCCCCAACUUGGAGAUGAAGCGUCCUAGUGCUGUCACGCGCCCAGUGAGCUUCUGCAUUUCUUUGACGGUCUUUGGCGGGCUCAUGUCCUCGACCGCCUUGACCUUUUCUGGGUUAGCCUCGAUGCCUCGGUGGGACACGAGGAAGCCCAAGAGCUUGCCUGAGGGGACCCCAAACACACACUUCUCUGGGUUGAGCCGCAGGCUCACAGCGUUGAGGCUUGUGAAGGUUUCCUCUAGGUCUUGUAUCAGGGUCUUGGCCUCACGAGACUUCACCACAAUAUCAUCAACGUAAGCCUCAACGUUCUUCCCGAGCUGCAGGCCCAAGGUGAUGUGCAUCAGCCACUGAAAGGUUGCCCCUGCAUUGUGCAGCCCGAACAGCAUGCAUGUGUAGCAGUACGCCCCACAUGGGGUUAGAAAAGCCAUUUUUUCCACAUCUUCUACCACCAUCUUGAUCUGGUGAUACCCAGAGAAGGCAUCCAAGAAACAUAACAGGUCGCACUCGGCGGUGGAGUCGAUGAUCUGAUCAAUGCGGGGGAGCAGAAACGGAUCUUGCGGGCAAGCUUUGUUGAGGUUGGUGAAGUUGACACACAUACGUUCCUUCCCACCUUUCUUUGGCACGACGACUGGGUUGGCCAACCAAUCCGGGUAUCGAACCUCGCGAAUGACCCCUGUAGCUUCCAACUUGCGGGUCUCUUGGAUGAUGAAAGCCUGCUUUUCCAUGGACUACCGCCUUGCUUUCUGCUUCACGGGGCGGACAUUGGGGCAUACAUUGAGGUGGUGCUCGAUUAUGCCUCUAGGGAUCCCCGCUAGCUGAUCGGGCUCCCAUGCGAAUUCCUUCUUGUUCGCACGCGGGAACUUGACCAGGGCCUCUUCCUGCUCGGGCUCGAGGUUGGCGCCUAUGGUGAAGGUGGCGUCAGUGGAUCCGUCCUCGUCAACCAGCAUCUGCUUGGUUUCUGCCUUGUCUUGGGUGAACAACUGCUUCUUCUUGGCCGGCACAGCCUCCUUGGGCUCGGGGGCGUCCGAGUCGGCAGGCUGCACCGACGCCGCCGCCUUAAAGGCGAGCUUGAGCGCUUGCAACGCAUCCCCGGUGUCUCCGCACACGGUGAGGACGCCGCUGCUCCCGGGCAUUUUCAUGAGGUUGUACAUCGGGUGAGUCGCGGCCAUGAAUCAGGCCAGCGCUGGGUAGACGAGGAUGGCGUUGUAUGGGAGCCCGAUGGGGGCGAUGUCGAAGUCGAUUAGCUCCGUACGGAAGUUGUCGUAGGUGCCGAAGGUUACCGGGAGAUGGAUCUGCCCCAGGGAGCUGGAGGACCCGCCCUCGAUGCCCAAGAAGGGCCGGCUGGGCCGAAGCCGCUCCGGUGGUAUGUGAAGGAGGCUGAAGGCUUCAAUCGAGAGCACACUGAGGCCCGCGCCGCCGUCGACGAGAGUCCUGGUGACGGCCACCUGGCAGAUGGUGGGGGUGCAUAGCAUCGGGAGCAUGCCCGAGCAGACAGAGUUGGAGGGGUGGUCCUCCGAGCUGAAGGCCAGACUGGCCUUGGGCGCCGACCGACCUGAGGGAGCCCCCUGCCGCGUGGAGGUAGCGCCGACCUGGCGGACGAAUGGCUUGACGCGGUGGCCUGAAGGUGGCGCCUGCGAGCCGCCCAGGAGGGCCGCGACGACCGGAGCGGGUGGCGUGCUGCUCAUCGCAGGGUGAGUCGUAGUGUCGGCGGAGGACGGGUUGGCGGAGGGAGAAGCUCUGGCGCACCCCUACCUGGCGCGCCAAAUGUCGAAUUUCGGGUUCCGGCAGACCCUCUAGGUUCGAACACUGGGGUGCGCACGGAGAUUUCGCCCUCUACCUACCUGCACCUCGCCGCCUCGCUAGGAUCUAAGCUACGAAAGGAACAACACAAGAGACACAAGGUUUAUACUGGUUCAGGCCACCACUGUGGUGUAAUACCCUACUCCAAUGUGUGGUGUGUGGAUUGCCUCUUGGGCUGAUGAUGAACCAUACAAGGAAGAAUAGCCUCGCGAGGGUCUGUUCUUGGCUGGUGCGAUGAACUGCUAGGGGGAGUUCAGUCGCUCUUUCUACUGGUUUCCAGAUGAUGAUCCGAUUGCUCUACCUUGUGGGUGGCUAGUCCUAUUUAUAGGCAAAGGCCCUGGGCCUCUUCCCAAAUAUUGAGCGAGAAGGGAGCCAACAAUUGGCCAUUUCGAAGGGGAACAUCUAGUACACUUAUCCUGACUAAAGUUGGUCCUCGCCUGUCAAAGGCUCUGGUGGUGACGCCGACUUGGGCUCCACAAUGACCUCCUUCCUACCAUUGCAUCGGUCUUGGUCUUGUUGCACCAAAAUGGAUGCCUUUGCCUGAUGCUCUCGCAUGCGCUUGCUCCCUUUGCACCAAAGAGGAAACAAGGACACUGCAAAGGCCGGCGCCCGCCUGGCUUUGGUAGUGAUGGCUUGCUUCAUGGGCACCUCGUGAGGUACCCCGCCUUGAUCUCUCCGCCUCCUCGCGAGCCAGCCUGACGAGGCCGUGCCUGAGGAAGCUCCCUGUCGUCCACCCCGCGAGGCUUGGCCCCUCGCGAGGGUCUUGAUCUUGUGCUGAUGAAGAUGAGCCAUGCUGGGCCGCCCCUUGAGCCACGCCGCAGGCUGCAGGCAGGCAAGUCUGGGGACCCCCGUUCCUAGAACGCCGACAGAAGACAGUGGCCAAUUUUCUUGGCCAGAUAUCCAGCCGCCCGAAGCUUUUUGAUAUCCUUCUCCUGGACGGUAGAGGUCGCCCAUUUGCCUCCUGCUCCGGAUCCGGACAUUUUCGGAGAACCUCUUUUGGUGGGGGAGACGAACGUCUGGGCACUAGGGCUCAGGCAAAGGGGAAUGGAUGAGCAAAAGGAGAAGAGGGCGUGGGUGGAGAAGAAGGGGCCUUAUCUCUUUAUAGAGGCAAUAAAAACUUUGUGCCUCCCUGCUUGCCUAAUAGAACCUGCUCGUUCCUCACUCACCGUGAUUGGCGGUACGGUUAGGUUGCCCACACCCGUAUUGAUGAGAGUCCCGUGAUAAGAGGACACGAUCUUUGCUUCGACAAAACGUGCCCGGAAAACUGCCUCACAAUAUGCACAGUAGAUGGUUGAGAAACGGUUCGGAUAAGGACCUGGCCACAGUGUGACAUCAAGUUAUUGUCAGCGGAUUCGUUUCGUGAAGAAAUAUUGUUCUCUCUACGGUGGUGUGUGAAAUUUAUUUUGCAGAGCUAGACAUGAUCCUUGCGUUCGGAAUCUACCUUGGAGUAUUUGGAGAUGGAACCCGCCUUGCAAUGUCGAAGACAAUCUGCGCGCCGGACUCAUCGUAAUUGAAGCCUGGUUUAGUGGCUAUUGAGGGAGUCCUGGAUUAGGGGGUAUCCAGACAACCGGACUAUAUACUUUGGCCGGACUGUUGGACUAUGAAGAUACAAGAUUGAAGACUUUGUCUCGUGUCCGGAUGGGACUCUCCUUUGUGUGGAAGGCAAGCUUGGCGAUUCAGAUGUUAGAUCUCCUUCUCUGUAACCAACUCUGUGUAACCCUAGCCCCCUCCGGUGUCUAUAUAAACCAGAGGGUUUAGUCCGUAGGACAAGGACAACAAUCAUAAUCAUAGGCUAGCUUCUAGGGUUUAGCCUCUACGAUCUCGUGGUAGAUCAACUCUUGUAAUACUCAUAUCAUCAAGAUCAAUCAAGCAGGAAGUGGGGUAUUACCUCCAUCGAGAGGGCCCGAACUUGGGUAAACACCGUGUCCCCAGUCUCCUAUUACCAUUAGCCUUAGACGCGCAGUUUGGGACCCCCUACCCGAGAUCCGCCGGUUUUGACACCGACAGUCGUGUGUUGGAAGAUCAUCUUGAGCCUGUGUUACCUUAGGGGCUUUAGCCAUGAAGCAUCUUCCAAUUCCUUCAAUUGGUGAGUCAAAUAUGUUGUAGGAGUUGGUUGACACAAGUGCAAGACCGGCAACAUCUUCAUCUUGAGUAUAUUUGGAGUCGGAGUGAUAACUUCUCUCGGAGUGCUUGUCAAAGUCGAAACUGGAUACCCAUUCACCAACAUGAGCUUGUUGUCUUCUUUUUGUGUUGCUCCUUGAUGCCUUGUCCUUCCUAUCCAAAUCCUUGCUUCUACGAGAGGGUCUUCGUUCAUAACGAUCAUCUCUACUCCUCUCUCUUGGAGGUGAUUCAUCUCUUCUACUUUUCCUUUUAGGUGAGUCUUCUUUUCUUUUGUAGGGAGCCGUACACUCAUUGGAGUAGUGUCUGGGUCUUCCACAAUUUUAGCAAUUUCGAACACGACUAGAAGAUCUUUUGUCAUGGUAGGACCUUGAUUUGGAGCUUCUCUCUUUGCUUCUACUCUUGUAGAAUUUGUUGAAGUUCUUCACCAUUAAGCUCAAAUAUUCAUUCAAGACUUGUUUUUCACUUGAUGUGGUAGGAGCAUCACAUGAAGCUUUAUAAGCACAACUAGACUUGUUGUGAAGCUCUUCCUUAUCAUUGAGUGACAUCUCAUGAGCAACAAUUCUUCCAAUGACUUCCGUUGGCUUCAGAUCUUUGUAAUUGGGCAUCAUUUGGAUCAAAGUGCACACGGUAUCAUAUUUUCCAUCCAAGGCUCUUAGGAUAUUCUUGAUGAUGAAUCUAUCAGUCAUCUCUUCACUUCCUAAGCCAGCAAUCUCAUUUGUGAUGAGAGCAAGCCUAGAGUAAAUUUCAGCGACUCCUUCACCAUCCUUCAUUUUGAACUUGUCAAGUUGACUUUGAAGCACAACCAAUUUGAUUCCUUGACGGACUCGGUACCUUCGUGCAUAUCAACCAAAGUAUCCCAAAUUUCCUUUGCAUUCUCAAGACGGUUGAUUUUGUUGAAUUCUUUGGGGAACAAUCCAUUGAAGAGGAUAUCAUAAUCUUGUGCAUUGUAUUGCAGCAUCUUCAAUUCUUCCGCGGUUGCUUCACGAUUUGGUUCUCUUCAAUCGAAGAAUUCACCUUGCAAACCAAUACACACAAUAGCCCAAACGGCGGGGUUAUGUCCAAGAAUAUGCAUUUUUAUCUUAUGCUUCCAACUAGCAAAAUUAGUACCAUCAAAGUAAGGACCUCUACGGUGGUAAUUUCCCUCGUUAGACGCCAUACUCCCCUAGGUUGUGAAACCGAGGCUAUGAUCACCAAAAGCUAUGGAAAUCAAGGCAAAUGGAGACCAAAGCUUUGAUACCAACCAGUCAAAAAAAUCUUUGAUACCACUUGAAGGAUCGAAAGUAGGUCUAGAGGGUGGUGAUUAGACUACUUGACCAAAUAAAAAUCUAGCCUUUUCCCAAUUUUAAGUCUAGGCAGAUUUUAGCAACUUAGCACAAGUCAAGCAAUCAACCUACACAUGUAAUUCUAAGAGUGUAGGAGUGAAAACUAAAACAUUGCAUACGAAGGUAAAGGGGAAGGGUUUGGACAAGGCAAACGCAAUGUACACAAGGAGAUUUUUGGCGUGGUUCCGAUAGGUGGUGCUAUCGUACAUCCACGUUGAUGGAGACUUCAACCCACGAAGGGUAACGGUUGUGUGACUCCACGGAGUGCUCCACCCACGAAGGGUCCAUGAAGAAGCAACCUCGUCUAUCCCACCAUGUCCAUUGCCCACGAAGGACUUGCCUCACUUGGGUAGAUCUUCACGAAGUAGGCAGUCUCCUUUCCCUUACAAACUCCUUGGUUCAACUCCACAAUCUUGACGGAGGCUCCCAAGUGACACCUAACCAAUCUAGGAGACACCACUCUCCAAAAGGUAAUAGAUGGUGUGUUGAUGAUGAACUCCUUGCUCUUGUGCUUCAAAUGAUAGUAUCCCUAACACUCAACUCUCUCUCACAGAUUUGGCUAUGGUGGAAAGAUUAUUUGAGUGGAAAUCAACUUGGGGAAGGCUAGAGAUCAAGGUUCUUGUGGUUGGAUUGGAAUGUCUUGGUCUCAACACAUGAGUAGGUGGUUCUCUCUCAGAAAAUGAGUAGUGGAAGUGUAGGCACGUUCUGAUGGCUCUCUCACAAAUGGAGAAGGGGGUGGAGGGGUAUAUAUAGCCUCCACACAAAAUCUAACUGUUACACACUUUUUACCCAACUCGGUCAGACAGAAUAGAGAAACUCUGUGAGACCGAUUCAGUUCAAAAUGUGAACAUUAGGAAUCUCGGUGGGAACGACGAGAUCAAAUCAGUGGGACCGAUGUGCUAGGGCUAGGGCAAAACCUUAUCUUGGUGAGACCGGUCACAUGAACUCGGUGAGACCGAUUUCAGCAAUUAAUCAAACAAAGAGUUAGUCAAGCAAACUCAGUGGGACCGAUCACUCAUUUCGGUGAGACCGAAAUGUUAUGAAAAGGAAACAAAGAGUUUGCAAUGCAAACUCGGUGGGACCGAUCGCUCAUUUCGGUGACACCGAAAUGUUAUGAAUGGAAACAAAGAGUUUGCAAAGCUAUCUUGGUGGGACCGAGAGCUGUAUCAGUUUGACCAAAUUGAUUAGGGUUUCUCGCUAUGGCUAUGUCAAGUGAACUCGGUGGCGCCAGAUAGAUAAAAUUGGUGGGGCCGAGUUUGAUUUUAGGUUUUGGACAAAUGGGGAAAUGAUAAAGUGGUUGAGGAUUUUGGAGAAAUAUCACUAAGCAUUUUGGGCAAGCAUGCCAUUAAGCAACACCUCAUCCCCUUUUAAUAGUAUUGGCUUUCCUAUGGACUCAAUGUGAUCUUGGAUCACUAAAAUGAAAAUGAAGAGUCUUGAGCCUUUGCCAAUCUUUGUCCUAAGCAUUUUGAGGGGUCCACAUCUCUAGUACAUGCCAUGCCAAUCAUUGAACUUUCUGAAACAUUUAACUUGAAUGGCUAUUAGUUCAAUCGGCUACAUGUUGUUAUGAAUUACCAAAACCAUCCGGGGAUUAGUUGCACCUUCACACGCAACACUAUGUAAACGGUACUUGCACACAAAGAACAAAUACUUGCAACCCGACGUAAAAGAGGGGUUGUCAAUCCCUCCCAGGUAAAAGGAUAGAUAAAGUUGUAGUGGAUUGGAUAAAAGAUCUCACGGGAACGUGAGAUAAAAUAAAUAAUAAAAAUUGCAGCAAGGUAAUUUUUGGUUUUUGGAUUAAUAGAUCUGCAAAUAAAAGCAAAUAAAGAUAGAUCUCGAAGGCAAAUAUCAUAAAGAAGAAACCCGGGGUCGUAGAUUUUACUAGUGGCUUCUCUCGAGAAAAAUAGCAUACGGCGGGUAAACAAAUUACUGUUGGGCAAUGGAUAGAACUUCAAAUAAUUAUGACGAUAUGGGCAUCACGUCCAAGAUUAGUAGACCGACUCCUGCCUGCAUCUACUACUAUUACUCCAUACAUCGACCACUAUCCAGCAUGCAUCUAGUGUAUUAAGUUCAUGGGAAAACGGAGUAAUGCAAUAAGAACGAUGACAUGAUGUAGACAAGAUCUAUUCAUGUAGGAAUAGACCCCAUCUUGUUAUCCUUAAUAGCAACGAUACAUACGUGUCAUGUCCCCUUCUGUCACUGGGAUUGAGCACCGUAAGAUCGAACCCAUCACAAAGCACCUCUUCACAUGGCAAGAAAAAUCGAUCUAGUCGGCCUAACUAAAUCAAAGAUUCAAAGAAGAAAUACGAGGCUAUAAGCAAUCAUGCAUAUAAAAGAUCAAAACUCAAAUAACUUUCAUGGAUAAAAUAGAUUUGUUCAUAAACUCAAAGUUCAUCGGAUCCCAACAAACACACCGCAAAAAGAGCUACAUCAAAUAGAUCUCCGACAGACCAUUGUAUUGAGAAUCAAAAGAGAGAGACAAAGCCAUCUAUCUACUAACUACGGACCUAUAGGUCUACAAUGAACUACUCAUGCAUCAUUGGAGAGGCACCAAUGAUGAUGAUGAACCCCUCGUGAUGGUGUCUAGAUUGGAUCUAUGGUUUUUGGAACUUGCGACGGCUGGAAUUCUGUUUUGUCGACUCCCCUAGGGUUUUUGGAUUUUCGGGGUAUUUAUAGAGCAAAGAGGCGGUGUGCCCAAGUGGGUUAUGCUCCCCUCAGAGCCCCACUUUGGUACUUCCUUGGCCCAACUUGUGUCUUCUAGUCCAAAAAAAUCUCCAAAAAAUUUUGCUGCGUUUGGACUUCGUUUGAUAUUGAUUUUCUGCGAAGUAAAAAACAAGCAAAAACAGCAACUGGUAGUAGUCACUAUGUCAAUAGGUUAGUGUUGCUAUAAAAUGAUUGUAAAACAUCCAAGAAUGAUAAUAUAAUAGCAUGGAACAAUUAAAAAUUAUAGAUACGUUGGAGAUGUAUCACACCUUACAUGGUUUUGCCCCUCUAGUUACAUAAACGUCCCGAGAUGGGCUCAACAAUUAAGGCCCAUUGGGACUCCAUGCUCAAGUUCCGCUCAGGACUAAUAUGAGUCUGAGUGGUCCACUCGGAUCCCAUUCGACUGAACUAGUCAGAUAUGAGACACUUACCCUGUCGGAUUCUCCAUGCUUGCGUUCUUUGUUGUUGGUGUGCUUCCCUUAUCACUGCCGCGAAAUCCACCGAUGUUCAGCAUCCCGAGACGCAGAUCCAGUGGCGCCACCCUCUGACAUCAUCGACCAAAGCAAUAGAUAGUGCAUAAUGGUGAUGCAUCCUAGUGGAUGUGAAAAUUAAAGUGAGCGACGAGGAACCUAGGGUUAUUUUUUGGAAUGGGUGGGGAAUUGACUGCACGAACCAGGAACAUAUUGUUGUUAGAGAUCACAGUUUCAGGUCUUACCACUAGAUGCACAGUCACGACAUCAGACAGAUACUUGGCGAAGCACACACUACAGGAAUCAGCUUAUUUGUCGACCGCCAUGGCAGACGGCAAAGGCACCAAAGGCGGACGGCAAAGCUCUUUGUUUUCUGCCACCGACGGCAAAGCUGUCUGGCAAAGAGGACGACGGUAAAUAGGUCUUUGCCAUAUGCUUUCUCGACGCGGACGGCAAAGAACGUUUGCCAUUUAUGGCUGAUAGCAAAGAAUUCGGACGGCAACGCACAGUCGUUACCCACAUUAGGUGGCUAACGGCAGCCUUUGUCGUCCCCUUUGCCGUCUGCCACGAACGGCAAAGAAACCAUAUGGUAUAACGCCUAGGUUGUACAGGUUGCUGCCACAUGGUCUGUUUGCCGUCCGUGGCAGAUGGCAAAGAGGCCUUUGCCAUCGGUGGCAGACGGCAAAGAGGCUGCAUUGUCUCAUUUUUCUGUUUUUUCUUACAUCCAAGAAAUUUCACAGCAAAAUAUAUGAUAUAUAUAUAUAUAUUCACAGGCACAACAGACAUAUGACAUAUCCAACACACAGGUUUCAUCAUACAUACAUAACUAACACAUAGUUCCAUCCAUACGUAUUACAAUAGUUCCACAUUGUUCAUCCAACACAUAGUUCCAUGCAUCCAUAUAACAAGUUCCACAUUAUUCAUCGUUACAAAAGAAAAGCAUAAAGGGGAAACAAACACUCCAUCCAAGCAAGCUUUCGUGAAGUGAAUGAAAUCUGCAAAAUUGGAAACAAGAAAGUUAGAAGAAGAAGAACUGAGAAUACUAAGGUAAAAUGGAGCUAACCUAGCUAAUUGUGCCAUUUUUUAGUGAACUAAGCAUAUUAUGCCAUUUUUUAUAUAAAGCAGCUUAGUAUAGGUCAUUAUUGAGCUAACCUAGGUAACUAAGCAUAUUAGAGCUAAUUUAGAGCUAACUUAUGUCAUUUUGUAGAAGAAGAAGAAGAAGAAGAAGAAGGUUUUACCCCUUUUCCUUCUCAUUCUUCUUCCUUUCUUCUUUAUUUUUCUUCUCUUCUUCUAUUCUUUCUUUUUCUCCCCUUCCUUGUUUUUCUUCUUAUUAUUCCUUAUUUGUGUCAUUUUAGAGCUUACAUAGGUAAUGUUGGAAAUAUGCCCAAGAGGCAAUACUAAAAUGGUAUUAUAUUUCCUUGUUCAUGAUAAUUGUCUAUUGUUCAUGCUAUAAUUGUAUUAACCGGAAACCGUAAUACAUGUAUGAAUACAUAGACCACAACAUGUCCCUAGUGAGCCUAUAGUUGACUAGCUCGUUGAUCAAUAGAUGGUCAUGGUUUCCUGACCAUGGACAUUGGAUGUCAUUGAUAAUGAGAUCACAUCAUUAAGAGAAUGAUGUGAUGGACAAGACCCAAUCCUAAGCAUAUAGCACAAGAUUGUGUAGUUCGUUUGCUAGAGCUUUUCUAAUGUCAAGUAUCAUUCCUUAGACCAUGAGAUUGUGCAAAUCCCCUAUAACGUAGGAAUGCUUUGGUUGUAUCAAAUGUCACAACGUAACUGGGUGACUAUAAAGGUGCACUACAGGUAUCUCCAAAAGUGUCUGUUGGGUUAGCAUGAAUCGAGACUAGGAUUUGUCACUCCGUAUGAUGGAGAGGUAUCUCUGGGCCCACUUGGUAAUGCAUCAUCAUAAUGAGCUCAAUGUGACUAAGGAGUUAGUCACGGGAUCAUGUGUUACGGAACGAGUAAAGAGACUUGCCGGUAAGGAGAUUGAACAAGGUAUGGGGAUACCGACGAUCGAAUCUCGGGAAAGUAACAUACCGAUGGACAAAGGGAAUUGUAUACGGGGUUUAUUGAAUCCCUGACAUCGUGGUUCAUCCGAUGAGAUCUUUGUGGAACAUGUGGAAGCCAAUAUGGGUAUCCAGAUCCCGCUAUUGGUUAUCUUCCAGAGAGGUAUCUCAGUCAUGUCUGCAUGGUUGCUGAACCCAUAGGGACUACAUACUUAAGGUUCGGUGACGCUAGAGUUAUAAUGGGAAUAGUAUGUGGUUACUGAAGGUUGUUCGGAGUCCCGGAUGAGAUCCCGGACAUGAUGAGGAACUCUGGAAUGGUCUGGAGGUCAAGAUUGAUAUAUUGGACGAAGGGUAUUGGAGUCUGGAAUUGUUUUGGAGGUACCGGGUGAUGACUAGUGUGACUGAAAGGAAUUUCUGAGGCCCCAACAAGCGUUUGGGGGCCUUAUGGGCCAAGGGGAGGGGACACACCAUCCCACUAAGGGGUUGUGUGCUACCUCUUGAGCUUGCCUUGGUUUUUCCCUUGAAGAGGAAAGGGUGAUGCAGCAAAGUAGCGUAAGUAUUUCCCUCAGUUUGAGAACCAAAGUAUCAAUCUAGUAGCAAACAACACACAAGUCACCGAAUACCUGCACAAAUAAUCAACAACUUGCACCCAACGUGAUAAAGGGGUUAUCAAUCCCUUCACGGUCACUUCCAAAAGUGAGAUCUGAUAGAGAUAGAUAAAUGGUAAAGUAAAUAUUUUUGGUUUAUAGAUCGGAAAGUAAAAGAUUACAAAAUAGUAGAUUGGAAACUAGUAAGAUGUAAAAGAGAUUCAAUAUAAUGGAAAAGAGACCCCGGGGCCAUACGUUUCGCUAGUGGCUUCUCUCAAGAUAGCAAAUAUUACGGUGGGUGAACAAAUUACUGCCGAGCAAUUGAUAGAAAAGCGCAAAGUUAUAACGAUAUCUAAGGCAAUGAUCAUGAACAUAGGCAUCACGUCUGUGUCAAGUAGACCGAAAUGAUUCUGCAUCUACUACUAUUACUCCACACAUCGACCGACUCCUGCCUGCAUCUAGAGUAUUAAGUUUAUAAAGAACAGAGUGACGCAUUAAGUAAGAUGACAUGAUGUAGAGGAAUUAACUCAAGAAAUAUGAUGAAAACCCCAUCUUUUUAUCCUCGAUGGCAAAAAUACAAUAUGUGCCUUGAUGCCCCUACUGUCACUGGGAAAGUACACCGCAAGAUUGAACCCAAAGCUAAACACUUCUCCCAUUGCAAGAAAGAUCAAUCUAGUAGGCCAAACUAAACCGAUAAUUCGAAGAGACUUGCAAAGAUAUCAAAUCAUGCAUAUAAGAAUUCAGAGAAGAACCAAAUAAUAUUCAUAGAUAAUCUGAUCAUAAAUCCACAAUUCAUCAGAUCUCGCCAAACACACCGCAAAAGACUAUUACAUCGAAUAGAUCUCCAAGAACAUCAAGGAGAACAUGAUAUUGAGAAUCAAAGAGACAGAAGAAUCCAUCUAGCUACUAACUAUAGACCCGAAGGUCUAUGGUAAACUACUCACGCAUCAUCGGAGAGGCAAUGGUGUUGAUGAAGAAGCCCUCCAUGAUCGAAUCCCCCUCCGAUAGGACGCCGGAAAAGGUCCCUAGAUGGGAUCUCAUGGGCACAGAAGGUUGCGACAGUGGAAAAGUGGUUUCGUGGCUCCCCUCGACGUUUUCAGGGUAUAAGAGUAUAUAUAGGCGAAGGAACUAGGUCAGGGGAGCUACGAGGGGCCCAUGAGGGUGGGGAGUGCGCCCUGCCCCCCUAGGCACGCCCUCCUUCCUCGUGGCCACCUCGUUGCCUCUCCGACUUCAUCUCCAAGUCUUCUGGUUUGCUUUCGGUCCAAGAAAGAUCAUUGCUAAAGUUUCAUUCCGUUUGGACUCCAUUUGGUAUUCCUUUUCUGCGAAACUCUAAAAUAGGCAAAAAAACAGAAACUGGCACUAGGCUCUCGGUUAAUAGGUUAGUCCCAAAAAUAAUAUAAAAUAGCAUAUAAAUGCCUAUUAAACAUCCCAAACAGAUAAUAUAAUAGCAUGCAGCAACCAAAAAUUAUAGAUACGUUGAAGACGUAUCAAGCAUCCCCAAGCUUAAUUCCUGCUCGUCCUCAAGUAGGUAAAUGAUAAAAACAGAAUUUUUUAUUUAGAAUUCUACCUAACAUAUUUAUCCAUGUAAUUUUCUUUAUUGUGGCAUGAAUGAUCAUAUCCGCAAGAUUAAAAACAAAAGUUUAAUAUUGAUAUAAAAACAAUAAUACUCAAGCAUACUAACAAAGCAAUUAUGUCUUCUCAAAGUAACAUGGCCAAAUAAAGCUUAUCCCUACAAAAUCAUAUAGUUUGGCUAUGCUCCAUCUUUGUCACACAAAAUAUUCAAAUCAUGCACAACCCCGGUUUCAGCCAACCAAUUGUUUCAUACUUUAGUACUCUCAAACUUUUUCAACUUUCAAGCGAUACAUGAGCGUGAGCCAUGGACAUAGUACUAUAGGUGGAAUAGAAUGGUGGUUGUGGAGAAGACAAAAAGAGGGAGAUAGUCUCACAUCAACUAGGCGUAUCAAUGGGCUAUGGAUAUGCUCAUCAAUAAAUAUUAAUGUGAGUGAGUAGGGAUUGCCAUGCAACGGAUGCACAAGAGCUAUAAGUGUAUGAAAGCUCAAAAAGAAACUAAGUGGGUGUGCAUCCAACUUGCUUGCUCAUGAAGACCUAGGGCAUUUGAGGAAGCCCAUCAUUGGAAUAUACAAGCUAAUUUCUAUAAUGAAAAGUUCCCACUAGUAUAUGAAGUGACAAAAUAAGAGACUCUCUAUCAUGAAGAUCAUGGUGCUACUUUGAAGCACAAGUGUGGAAAAAAGGAUAGUAACAUUGUCCCUUCUCUCUUUUUUUGAUUGGCUUCUUUGGCCUCUUUUUUGCUUCUUUGGCCUCUCUUUUUUCCUCACAUGGGACAAUGCUCUAAUAAUGAUGAUAAUCACACUUCUAUUUACUUACAACUCGAAAAAUUACAACUCAAUGCUUAGAAUAAAAUAUGACUCUAUGUGAAUGCCUCCGGCGGUGUACCGGGAUGUGCAAUGAAUCAAGAGUGACAUGUAUGAAAGAAUUAUGAAAGGUGGCUUUGCCACAAAUACGAUGUCAACUACAUGAUCAUGCAAAGCAAUAUGACAAUGAUGAAGCGUGUCAUAAUAACGGAACAGUGGAAACUUGCAUGGCAAUAUAUCUCGGAAUGGCUAUGGAAAUGCCAUAAUAGGUAGGUAUGGCGGCUGUUUUGAGGAACGUAAAUGGUGGGUGUGUGGUACCGGCGAAAGUUGCAUGGCACAAGAGAGGCUAGCAAAGUGCUUAUAAUCCAUGGACUCAACAUUAGUCAUAAAGAACUCACAUACUUAUUGCAAAAAUCUACAAGUCAUCAAAACCAAGCACUACGCGCAUGCUCCUAGGGGAAGGGUUGGUAGGAGUUAACCAUCGCGUGAUCCCGACCUCCAUACAAAGGAUGACAAUCAAAGAGAUACCUCAUGCUUCAAAUUUGUUACACAACGGUUCACCAUAUGUGCAUGCUACGGGACUCACAAACCUCAACACAAGAAUUUCUGAAAUUCACAAUUAUUCCAAUAGCAUGACUCUAAUAUCACCAUCUUCAUAUCUCAAAACAAUCAUAAAAAAUCAAACUUCUCAUAGUAUUCAAUGCACUUCAUAUGAAAGUUUUUAUUAUAUCCCUCUUGGAUGCGCAUCAUAUUAGGACUAGUUUUAUAACCCAAGCAAAUUACCAUGCUGUUCUAAAGGACUCUCAAAAUAAUAUAAGUUAAGCAUGAGAGUUCAACAACUUCUAUAAAAUAAAGCCACUGUCGUGCUCUAAAAGAUACUAGUUGACCCGUUGCGCCAAAUGGCGCAGAGACCCGCUGAAGACAUAUUGUCGAUGAAAAUAGUUUGAUACUGCAAGAACCUUGAACUAAACCAUGGUAUUUUGUAAACAUGUUAAUUGCAUUGUUUAAUAAUAGUCUGGGAAAAGGGAAAUUUUGCAUAAUAUGAAUAUGUUCAAUCUGAAAAAAUGGCCACUAUAAUGAGGUAGUAAAGUUGGCAUGGUUGUAUUUUUUUAGCAAGUUUGAAAUGAUGGUUAUCAUGAUGAUAAAUUUGUGCAUGCAUAUAUUUCUUGGGAUGAUGAGAGAGUAAAGCUGGCUUGGCUGUAUUUUUUUAGCAAGUCUGAAAACAUGCAGUAUGAUGAGAAAGCAAAGUUGGCAUGGUUGUAUAUUUUUAGCAAGUUUGAAAACAUGGUUAUCAUGAUGAAAAACUUGGGCAUGCAUAUAUUUUUUGGAAAGAAGAGGGGAAAAGAUAAGAAACCUAAGGAAAAAGGAUAUAAUAUAGUCGGUUUAUCUUAAAAUAGUUGAUUUAUUUUAAUAGCAUAGAGUGAAAGCUGAAACAAAAAAAAUAUUAGUUGGUAUGAAAAAUGAAGAUAGAAGUGUUUUGAAAUGUUGUCUCUCUCGAUAAAAAUCGGUAACAAAUUUAAUCCCCUUCAAUUAAAAAAUAUAGGUUUGUUGUCUACAAUAAGAUGUACAUGCACAUUUUACUUUGGUAGCGUGGAGUCUAAUUCAAAACCACAUCGGGUUGAAAAUAUACAUAUUUUCAAUAAUCUUUUGUUUGAGCAAGUACACACGAUAAGAAUUAGACCCUUCUAUAUUAAAAAAAGGUACAUAUCCUUUGCCUAAUAUUUGCCUGACAAAAUGUCCAUCAGAUGAAUCAAUCAAAUAGGAGGAACUGGGGAGUAUUUCAAACCGAAACAAAGAAUUGAUCCUAACUACGUGAAGUGCAUUAGCUUUAAAGCCUCUGAAUUAUUUUGUUGCUACUCCACCAGGAAAGUGGAGGCCUUCAAGAAUCAAAAGACACCACUUGAGCUCUCUUCGGUCUCAUAAGCCCUGUUGUUAUUUAUAUCCUUAACCCCAAAAGGUUGCUCUUAGCAUCUCUGUUGUUUUCUUGAUCCUUAUUAGGUGUCAGAAUAUCCUGAAGAAAAUGCAGUUGAUAUCAUAUUAUCAUUAAAUAAAUCCAUAGUUAACAUGUGGAUCGUGGGGAAUGGCGAGAUUCCAUAUUGGGGUUUGCAACAUGAAUAAAAGACCACUAAUUUAUAGAAGGAGAAAAAAUGCCUGAACACCCUUAAGAAAGGCCAUGACGACGCACUAAAUAUUUCGAAAUGAGAAGUUAUUUUGUCGUUGAAAGAAAAAAAAGAUAAAGCACAAACCUUUUUCAAAUAUGUUCAGC
rnacentral:lncRNA from 1 species